AGUUCAUAUGGUUCUAGAAUAUGUGGACAUCUGCUUCAACCACAGAUCUUUAUUUCAUGUUUCCAUACUCUUUCAUUUAGUUGACGACGAAAUUACGAUGAUUUCAGAAUCAGAUUGCACGCCCAGAUAUCUCAAUUCAUUUUCUUCAUACCCUUACUGGUGUAUCUGCAAAUUGCCAUGAGGUGCUAUUAAAAAGGUCAGGUACUCUAGCUCCUGCCACCUCAGUCAGUGGUGCUGCAUUAGAUAUCUCUUCUAAAUCUUCCUUUGUGAGAUUCAAUCUCAAGGAACUGAUAUUAUCAUCAAGAUUUUUGAUCUUAGUGGUCCCUACAUGUAAAUCAAAUGAGGAUCCAUAUAAGUAUAUCUCAACCAUAAAUCUCAAAAGCACAUUUUCCAAAAGAAAAAAAAAAAUACAAAGCAACUUCUUAUGAUUUUAGCAAUUUGGUAAGUUUCUUGUUGUUUACUUAUUUUAGCAUAAAAGUGUCGUCCUGAUGUCCACAGAUUUAUCUGUGUGGCGGAAAAAACUAUAGCUGUUUGUUUAAUGGAGAAUCAACAUUCAUUUAAAAAAACAUAGAAAAAGGAUACCGACAAUCAAAAGAGAUAUGAAUGAUGUUAUUGUGAGGACAAGAACAGAUGUUAAGCAUGUUCUUUGCAUGCUAGGUUGAGAGGAAGAACACGUGACUCACCAGGGAUAGGUGCCACAUCAUCCCCUUGAUGAAGAACCCAAGCUAGUGCAAGCUGUGCAGGGGUGCAUCUGUGCUUUUCAGCCAACAUCUCCAUUUUAGUGUAUAUGUUCUUGUUCUUUUCAAAGUUCUCACCUUGAAACCUAGGAUUUAAUCUCUGAUAAGACAAAAGGUUGGUCAUCAGUUCGCCAUGCUUAUUCAUAUGUAAGACAAAGGUGAAUAUAUCAAAAUCAUCCAGGUCCAUAAUAAUGUUUUUGACUAGAAAGUUUAGUGGAACAAAAAAUGAGUACACAAAAGGCUGGAAAUAGGUCAGAUUCCACACCAGGAAAGUGUUUGCAGGCGCAUUUUCAUCAACAACCUUGCCGCCAAAAAACCCACGUCCAAGAGGACUGUAUGGAACUAUCCCAAUUCCAAGUUCUCUACAAAACAUACAAAAUAAAAUUCUCUCAUAGUUAAAAACAUAUAAAAUUAAGUAAAAAGACAAAUUGAGAUAACUGCAGACUAUAAGGAUUAAGGUCUCAGUGUGAGAAGUGUAUGAUAUUUUACCAGAAAAAUUCGAACAUGAAACCAAAAUAAGGAAUUUGACUUUCAGAAACCUUAUCUUUAUAAAUGGAAUUUGGAAGUUACAUGAACACCAACAUGUAAACAGAUAAAAGGCAAGGAUGGACUAAGUGAAGAGAUAGAUUUAGAACUUAGGAUGGAAUAUGAAACCUGCAAAGAGGGACUAUUUCUUCCUCAAUAUCGCGGGUCCAGAGGGACCACUCCAUUUGUAAGGCAGUAAUGGGAUGAACUGCAUGAGCCCUCCUUAUUGUGUCUGGGCUAGGUUCAGAUAACCCAAUGUACUUAAUUUUCCCUUCUGCAACCAACUUCUUAAGCUCCUCCAUCUACAUUAUUGCAAAUAUAUAUUUUUAAGGAACGUGCUAGUGAAAUGAUUUAAACUUCCAAGUAGAGGAAAAGAUCACACCAUUACAAAAAUGGUUUGGAAAAAGUAAAAAUUAAAUAAAAAUAAAGAAAAUAUAAUACAACACUCACAGUUUCCUCUAUUGGUACUGACUUGUCAACCCGGUGUUGAUAAUAGAGAUCAAUGUAUUCCACAUCAAGACGUUUCAGGCUAGCUUCACAACAGGAGCGGACAUACUUAGGUGUACCAUUCACUGUCAUGCCAGUGGCAGGGUCAAAACCAGCAAUACCAAAUUUGGUGGCUAACUGGAUCUUUUCUCUAGGCAACUCCUUUAACGCCUUCAAGAUCCGAUAUCCAUAAGAAUCACAAACAACUUUUACAGAAAAAAUCAAAAUAAUUGAUAACAAACCAUAGAAAGACAAAAAUUAAGGAGGUGUUUGCAUAGAUUGAUCUUUUCUGCAUUUUGAUAACAGAAAUAGCAGUAGUUAACUGACUGUGUACCAGAGUGAUUAAUACUUGAUUGAUAUCACUUGCCUAAGCAUGAUUAUUUCCAAUCCCUAUUUUAUGAUCCUAGAAGUGAAAUUUAUUUAUUUAUUUUGUCGCUUCCUGUUUCUGUUCUUGCUCCAAGAAAGCAUGCUGGAGAAUGGUAAUUACGACAUGAAAUAAAUGUGAAUUCCACAUUUUUUUUAUUAGAUCUGUGAAUUCUAUCUCCAAAUAGUGAAUCAUGAAAAAGAGUUCCAGGUUAACCUAAACUCAUGCUAUACUUCAAGUUUUAUGGACAAUAAACAAAUUUAGGCAUGCUAAAUUAUCACAGGAUCAAAGAAUUGUAUCAUACACACAAAACCACAGAUCGUAUAGAGAAUGCUCAAGAAGGACAUAUUUUCUUUCUUUCAAAAAUGCUUUCCAUCAGAUUGUAUAACCACAUUUCCGGGCUUCUUUUUCCUGUUUCAUAACAUCUAGGCUCUAAUCAUUGUAGAGAGAACUGCAUUCAGGAGACAAAUCAAGAAAAGACAGAAAACUACACUCAAUAGACAAAUCAAGAAAAGAUAGGAUACCACUGUGUUUCAAAUGAAGAUACUGAUUUUUUUUUUGGUGGAUCAGGAAGAAAGAAUGUAUAUGUAAAUAGACAGUAAAUAAAAGAUAGCAUAACCUAGUACAAAGGAAGUACAGAAGGCACACAAAGCCCAAUAAAGAGCCACUAUCUACAACUUUCACAAGGCCAAACUAUUUGCAAAACCUGACCAAAAAAAAAAUCAUCCAUUUCCAUUCUGAGAGUGGACUAUGAAAAUAUAGUGCCUGUUUGGAAACUGUUCUUAGAACAGAAAAUAGUUUUUAAAAUUUCAAAAACAAGGUUGGUAAAUUUUAGAUUGAAAACAACUUUUUAUAAGUUUGUUCUAAAAACCGGGUGAUUUUUUAGAACAAAUUUGAGGUAUUUUCAGGUGUUUUUUAAAGAGUGUUUUAAGAAACAACUGAAAAAAUAGAGAAUCGGAUGGGAGCUUUUGCAUUGUAUAUAAGUACAAAGUGCCUUGUCAAAAAAUAGGCAGAGAAAAUUGUUUUUCAUAGUUGAGUUUCAAAACAAAAUUUUGGCCUUUGGAAACAAUUGAGAACUGCUUUUAAGGGCUACUCUCAAAAACUGAUUUUUAAGAACUAUUUUUGGAAACAAUGCCAAACAAGCCUGUAGUUUGAGAAAGAUGUGAAGCUCCACAUUGUCAAAGGUUCUCCUGUUUCUAUAUCUCCGAAUGGUAGAAAAUAAACAUAGCAGGGCCAUCUUUCAGGUUGCUUUUCUCCGCUUACCCACAAUGCGGUCAUGCAAUCCAAGUAACACCUCCUUUACUGCAGGCACAAGGACCCAACUAACUCCAAACAAGGGAAACAUCAAACUUCAUAAAUGGACAGCUUGAUAGCAACAAAUCAAAAUGUGAUAAGCAUAGUCCCCCAUUUGCUUCUUGCAGAGACAGUCCCAAUAAUCAAUGUCAGAUUUCUCUUCUCCUUAGCUGAUUAGUUAGAAUUUUUCUCCACCCACCCCUGACAGGAAGAAGCACCCUUCAAAGUUGCCUUGGGGCUGCAAAUCUCUUCUUUAAGGGGGCAAAGGAACUUCAACAACCAAGACCUUGUGGAAAGAUUUCUCUUAAAAAAGCACCAUUCUAAGAAGCUUCCCAAACAAACUCAUUCCCAAAGUUGCUGGUAUAAGCUCCAUUAAUGGUACCACAAAGCACAACCUCCAUCUCCAAUCUUCAACUUGUUUCCCAUCUCCUAACAUUCCUUCACCAAAACAUCUUUGUGAACUGCAAGGUUGAACAAAACUGGGAAUUGGUCUUUCAAAGAUCACUCCUUAUACUACUCAUCUAUUGAAAACUUGGUCAAAAGGAUAUCCCCCAAUGAAAUGCAUGAUUUGAUGAGAAAUGUAUGAUCUAACAUAAAAGAACCAUCAACCUUCCUGGUGGUUUGUCAAAGAUCCAACCUCUAGGCCUCCCUUAUCUCCCUUGAGCACCAUUCCUAGGAGCAUCCCAAACUAACGCAUUCCCUGAAUUGCUAGGACUAUAACAACUUAAGAACUGUACCACGAGGCACAACCUCCAUCUCACAAUCAAAGAAACCCCUUUUGAAUCUAGGAUCCUAACCAACCCUCAACCUGUUUCCUAUCUCUCAACAUUCUGCCACUUCAACAUUUUUUUUGAACUGUCACAUUGAACAAAACUAGGAAUUAAUCUUUCAAAAAUUUCUCCUAAUACUAUAUUAACCCACUCCCUCCUAUGUAGAUGUUAUCCACUUAGAGUCAAGGUCCACACGGUUUAAAAACAAAUCCAUAUAAUUAAGAGAUACCCAUGACAUAUAAAGCACUAAGAACUUCUAUCUAUAAUCAAUAUAGGAUAUCUUAAUUACCCCUCAUCCAAGCACCGCGUCUUCGUCUAGUUUCAUGGGAUUGUAGGCAAAACGGAUAGACACCCUUGUAGGGCUGGACAAACAGACUCUCAUACUUGGUCGGGAUUUGAUUCUAAUAUUAUUUGUAACAACAUACUCUAUUUCAUGUAGAUAUUAUCUGCUCUAGGUCAAAGCUUGCAUGACUUUAAAAUGUGUCCACAUAAGUAAGAAAAGUUUAGACCUAUUAGAAACCUACCUCCCUAGUUGAAGUAGGAUAUCACAACUACUUUUUUCAAAAUUUGGUUAAAAGGUCAUCCUAAAAAAAAUGCACAAUUUGACAUUAAAAAAAAAAACCCUUAAACACUACUUGUUUAUUUAAAACCUGGUCAAAAUGCCAUCUUCUAAAGAAAUAUGAGAUCUAACAUAAAAGACCCCUCAACCUUGUCGAUGGUUUUUCAAAGACCCAAUCCUUAUGCCUCCCUAAUUUCCCUUGAACGCCAAACCUCCUCCUUUUCCCCAUGUUUUCCCAUGAAUUUUCGAUGCGAACUCUCUCUUUAUCUCUCUCUCCAUCUCCUCCUCUCCCUCUUCACAUAAAAUAGCCACAUCUACUUUCCCAACAAAAGCUUUAUUGACCACCAAGGGCGUCGUGAUACCCAACCACCUCUAUAUAUCUAACAAAUGUGAGUUGUCCUUUCAUUUGAAGCAACUCCCCCCAAAGGAAAUCUCUCCCAAAUCUUUUCAAGUCUAUUUGCACCUUCAUUUGGAUAAAAAAGAACAGCACUAACUAGAUCAAGAGACUAGAUAGAGUAUUUUCCAAAAGAGUAACUCUACCUAACUUAGAGAAAUAUCAACACUCUUGAAGGCUUGGGAAAGCCUCUUCUUAAACCUAUCCUCCACAGGGUCCCAUACAGGUAAGGACUUGAAAAACCCUCCCAAAGCCAGGCCUAGAUAAUUAGUAGAUAGGACCCUAGCUACUCUACAACCCAGCCUAAGUGCCAACUGCUCCACAUUCUCCAUCUUCCCAUUAGAGCAGUCUCACUUUUCUCCAAAUUAAUCCUGAGCCCAGAACUGCUGUAAAGACCAACAAAAUCUAUCUCUGGAUAAACAUUGCUCACAAUUGGCCAUAUAUAAAGUGGUAUCCUUCUUUAAAUUUUGGAGUUAGCUUUGCUGAUUCAUGUUAUAUUAGACAAAUAGUUAAAUAACAUACCUAACUGACAUCAACCAUAAUAACACACCAUGGCAUAAAUAAAAUCGUCCUCCUCUCCCUGACGUGUCUUUGGUUGAAACAAAUGGAGCCUAAAUAUUAUGAUCAAUAUCAUAUUUGACUUUCUUUCCCCUAAACAGAGCUUCUAAAGAUAUAAAAAACAGUUUAUAUUCAAUCCAGGCUUUAUCCAGAGGUAGAUUAGCCAAUUUAAGCAGUAUUCAUUCUAUAACCCAAUAAAAUAAUCAUAAAUUAGACCCAACUAUGUAAUUUCUAAAAAUUUACUUACUAAUGCAGCAAAGACCUGAAAACCAAUAUUCAGCACAACUUAACAGAAUCAGAAAUUCAUUCCAGAUUAGGACAUAUAUAUAAAUAAAUAAAUAAAUACAUAAAUAAAUUCUUCAGGUUUUCAUAGUUAGCCCAAAGAUAUUAGUGGCAUUUUGAAGGAACCGUGAGAAAUUGCAGUUACCUUCCCGAUCAAGACUUCAUUAGUAAAGGGUCCAUAAACAUCUGCUGUAUCAAAGAACGUGAUUCCUUUACUGAAUGCAUGCUUGAUAAUUGCAAUGCCAACAUCAUCAGGGACAGGAUUGUUGUAGACUCCAGACAGUCCCAUACAACCAAAUCCCAGCUUCGAGACCUAUAAGACAAUAGAUCUUACAUUUAAAUGAAUAAGAAAUAAAAACCUCUCCAUUUAUUGGGUAAGAUUAAUAUAAACAUAUGUUCUUCCAUGAUCUCUCAAUGAAUAUCUACAGGGGGUUAAUUGCAAUGUCAAUGACCAUAUGAAGUUUUUCAGUUUUCUUAAGAUUUAUACUGCUUCUCCAGCAUUAAUUUGGCUUCUCUAGUUCAGCCUUAGCGGACAUUCUUGAUGGAGACCAAAAAUAUACAUCCGUUUAAGUAACAAGGAUUGUGAUUCAAUCUAAAUUGGUACAACCUACUUAUUUAUGAUCAAAAUCACAAGUUUCAGCAACAGGAAUGACCUCAUCAUUAUUUAAAAAUUACUAAAGGAAAAUUAACUGGUUCCUUAACUGUAUAAAGCAUUGAUAUUAAGUCAUGGAUUAUGCUAAUGGGCAAGGUAUAACCUGGCACACAUUGCUAGAGGUUGGUGUAACAGUUUCCUUCUUCAUAUUAGUUGUUACUCUGUGUUUUCUUCAAAACCCCUGAAAGCAUUGUACUUGUGUCCAUGCAUAGCCCGACAUAAGAGUACUGCCCUUAAUAGUAUUUAACUUCCUAUAUUACCAUCCCACAAUACCUCGGUUGAAAUUGUAGCUUGAUUACAAGCUUCAACCAACUUUAUCUCACAACAAGAACAGGAGAAGAUCUUUGUGAGUUCUCUCAGUCUACAGUUUUCGGAAUCUAAAAGAUUGUAGCUUGCCCAAAAUUUCUUUAAAUGUAGGACCAUAACCAUGCAUCAAUGCAGGAAAGAACAUCAACGAGUACUGAGCUUCUCAAAUAUGGUCAUGAAGGUUAGAUCCCAAGCAUAGGGCUCAUAUUGGUAGCACACAAGCAUGAUGAAAUACCAUGGUCCAAAACCAUGUUUCUGAGAAAAUAAUACAUAAUAUUGAAGUUAACUGUUAGUACAAUCAGCCUCUAAUACUGGGUUAAAAUCCAUGUUUGAUUACAAGUUGCAAAUCACAAGAACAAGAGAAGAUCCCUUUGAAUUCUAUCAGAGUGCAAUUUUUGGAAUCUAGAAGAUUCUGGAUUGUUCAAAAUUUCUUCAAAUUUAGGAUCAUAAGAAUCAAUACAAGAAGGAAAAUAAAAUGGUGCUUACAGUCUUAGAUUGUCAGAAAGUAUGGCCAUAAAGAUUGGAUCUCAAGUAUUGGAUUCAUAUUGGUAAAAUAAAAAUGUGAUUAUGUAUUAGUAUUGCUAUUGAUAUUGCAAUUCAUUGUGGUAACCUACUUUGAGGUAUUGGUAUUGGUGGUCAUCGCCUAAACCGACAUUAGGGCAAAAUCAUUCAUACAUACAUAGGUACAUAUACAGACACAUGAUACUGCAUACAGCCAAACAUAGAGAAGACAAAAAAAGGCUUAAUAACACAGCCGUAUGAAUACAUGCAAUGUACAAAUCAGCCCAUUUCCGUUUUCUUACACACAUACAUGAUAAUGCCCAACUUACAUCUCCUCACACCUGGCUACUUUUAGUUACCACUACCUGAUUCUAAUAAGAUGGAUGAUCAAGGAAUUCAUUGGAUUGCACCUCAAAAUAGUGAAUUUCCUAGUUUUAUACACUUGAAUAUGAACAAAUUUCAAGUACUUGGAAUAUUAUUAUCAUAAAGAAUAAUAAACUAAGGAACAAAAUUUAGAUGUUUUUGAUGGAAAUGAAAUGGGUUUUACCUCUAGUCCUUGAUUUCCCAGUUUCACCCUCGGAAUUUGAAUCUCACCCAUAUUUGCCUUCCUUGGAAUUCAGGCAGAGACUUGCUUUCUGAGUGUAGAGAGGUGUUAGCAGAGCAACAAAUUUAUAGAGAAUGUAUAAAUUUGACGAGUAGAACCAUCCGACGAAAGCAGUGAUCUCAGCUUUGGGAUGAAUUAGAUAUUUUCAAUUUCUUAUAAUUAUUUUUAAUUUUAUAUAAUAUAUAAAUUAGAUAUUUAUAAUAUCAUUGAUUAGAUCAUGUUAAUCAUGAGUCCAAAUAUUUAACUGUGAGUUGAUAACCAUUUUUUUGGGUCUAAUUUUAAUAUUUAAAACAUUGUUCAAAAUUAUUUCCAAAUUCAAGCACAUUCUAAAGCAUCAAUUGGAAUUGUCCCUUCAAUAUGGAAACAUUUUUUGAAUUACCACUUUUAAGAUACUUUUUAAAAAUGCGAAGAAAAAGAAAGAAAAAAAAUGUUAAGGAAAAUGAUUUUCUCAUGUUUGGUUGUCUUAUGAAAUAUUCCAAAGAAAAUUAAAUAUAAUUAAAAUUAAUAAGAAACUUAUAUAUUUUAAAAUUAUUUAAUCUUUAUAUUGAUAAGUUAAAAUAAAUAAAAUGAGUUUGAAGUAGAAAAUAAAAAUAAUUUAUCAUCUUUAACUCUAUUUUUUAUUUUUCCUUCAUUUUUUAUUUCCUUUUACUUUUCCUCUUUAUUUUCUUUCCUUUGCAUUUUCCCGGAACCAAACGUAACCUUCUCUUUUGGCAGGAUUUUGACAAAGACACAAUUUUCCUUUUUUAAAUGAAUUUAUAUAUUGUAGUUAAAAUUUAUUUCUCAAAUUUUAAGGCAUCAAUUUGAAGUUAUCUUUUAAUGAGAUAGGUUCUAUUUAAGUAUCAAAGUUGUCUUUUAAAAAAAACAACUCUCAAUUGGAUUCCUUCCCAUUGUCAUAGAUUUAAAAAUAUUUUUGAAUUACUAUACUUUAAAGAUAUAUUUUUUUAAAAUUAGUGUAUUUUUUUCAAAAUCCCUUCCUUUCCCGUGUCCUUCCAUUCUUUUUUUUUUUUUCCUUUAUUUAUUUAUUUAUUUAUUUUUUAUGGAUUUUUUUCUUCCCUUUCUUAUCUCAUAUAUAUAUAAUUAAACUGCUACUUCCACUGCAUUGGGUUGUACCCAAGUCCCACUUGUACAUUGUCUCAUAUCUUUGUAUCAUGGAUGAUUGUUUUAAAAUCAAAGUGUUUUUAACUCACAUCUUAGCUUAAUGUUAAUUACAUGAUUAAUUUAUCCAUUUUGAAACAUGCAAGUGAUGUUGAAAGCUAAAAAAUGACAUUUGAACAAUUUUGCCUUUUUGCUUCCAUGUUAUCCUAUUCCACUCCCAUGUCUCCCAAUUGUGAUCCCAAUUUAUUCAAUUCUGCUCUUAAAUAAGGCAGUACAAGUAGUCUCAUGGCUUUAUAUCCAAAUCUUCUUUGGUUAUACCUUAAAUUAUUAUUAUUAUUAUUUUUAAAAAGGCGUUUUAAGUCAUUUUAAGCUUAAAGUUAAUUAUAUGAUUAAUUUAUCAAUUUUGAAACAUACAAGUGUUGUUGGAAGCUAAAAAAAAAAAGUGAAAUGUGAACAUUUUUUUUUUAUUUCACUCUCAUAUUGUCUCAUCCCACUCCCAUGUCUCAUAAUUGUGCUUCCAAUUUGUUCAAUUCCACUCUCAAAUAAUGAAAUACAAGCAGUCUCAUGGUUGUUUACUUAGGUCCCCUUUGGUUGUACCUUAGGCUGAAUGUUUAAAAAACACAAGGUGUUUUAAACUCAUUUUUUAGGUUAAAAUUAAUUAUAAGAUUAAAUUAUCGAUUUUGAAACAUAUAAGUGUUGUUGGAAGUUGCCAAAUGUGAAUUUUGAACAAUUUUUUAUUUCGCUCUCAUACUAUUAGGUUCUCCUAUGUAUAUUUUGAUAACAAAAAAAUAAGGUUAUAUAUAGUAACUUGUUUAAAUCAAGUACAGUUUCAGGUUUUAUUAUUAAAAUAAUAAUAAAAAAAAGGUCAAGUAGGCUUAUAAAAGAUUCUAAUGUCAUAAAGAUUUGGAUCCUUGAAGCCUUAACAUGUUUAAGAAUCAAUGUAAAAUGAAUCUCACGAGUGCACUUAGGAUAAAAUUUCUUUUAUCUACUUAUAAAUGUAAUUCAUUCAUACCUUGUUAGCUUAAAAGUGACUUUAAGUUCUUAAAAAUGACUGAAUAUGCAUUUUACCUUAAAACCUUAUGUUUAAUUCUUUCAAAAAUGUCUUAGAAAGGUUUUUAAAUGAAAUGGUCAAGUUAUUGGGAAGAUUAAAACUAAAAUUGAAAGAUUUUUAGGUUGAUUUUUGCUCAAUCGAUUAAGGGUGCCAUGAACUAGUUGAACUGAAUAGGGAAUUAGGUAGGCUUUUUCGGUCGAGGAUCAGUCAAAUUUGCUAAAAAAUCUUUCCUCUCUUCUAGUAGUUGGUGUUUAGCCAACUAGGUGUAGUUGAAGCCUCAUCGAGUUUUAAAAACAUCAACGAUCAUCUGCAGAGUAUUAAAUGUGCCAAUGACUACCCAAUCAAUCCAACCAAAGUUUAAUCGAUCACGGGUCUUUUACUUAGAUUUGAGUGAACAAACUAUUUUUCUUUAAAUUGGAGAGUUCUCUUGUAUUUAUCGACAAAAGAGCACCUACAUUAAAUUAUUUACCAUUCAUUUUCUCUCAUUCAAAACUCUCUAUUCAAGCACAUUAACUCUUUCAUAUGAGUUUCCACUUUUGACUCUAAUAGUAUGUAAAUGAUGUGCUUUUGGAAUCAUAUGAAAGGGCUCAUGAUAAUACAAUUAUACUAAUAGUGGUAUGGAAAAGAACACCAACUAGUAUGUGAAAGGAAUAUAGAUACUACAUAAAUAAUAAUAACUAAGUGCAUUAACUAUCAUUCAUUAAAGUGGUACCCUUUAUUCCUGCAUAUGUCUUAAGUAAACAAACUCUUAUUUGGAUGUCCUAUUAAAAUAAGAGUAGGAAUAAAAGACCGUACUCAAGAAAACCAAAUUCUAUUGAUUUUUUUAAUAAUAUUAUAUAUAAAACUAUGUAUCUAGACAAAUUAAUUCUUUAUUAUCAAUUUUCGGGUUGUAUUUUUAUGUACUGGUUGAUCAAAUCAAUUAGAGGAGUAAUGCCAGGGAUAGGAUAUAUGAAUAAGAGCAUAGCCUUUAUCCACUAGAAGGGAUGAAAAACCUUAGUAUUUAAUUAUGAAGAUUUUCCUAAUGUUAAAACAUUCUAUAUUUUUUUUAUAUAUAUAAUAAACAUCAAUUUUAGAGAUGAACACUUAAUUUUAAAUCUUUCCAAAAAAAAUUCGAAAUUUAGAAUAUAGUGAAUAUUGAAGUAGGAAACAACAAAAAAACCUUUUGGAUGUUGGAAUGCUUGGAAUGUUUAAAUGCCCUUUAGGUUGUUUGAAUGACACUCCUUUGUCUUUCUCAAAAUUUGCAAUCUUCAUGCAUUUCUCCAUCUUCUUUUUCGAAGUUUUGUCUAUCCAUAGAUACAUGUUAAUGUUGAAAUUAAUGAUUCUGAAGUGGUUUGUGUAGGAGGCUUCCCUCCACGUGUCUUUCCUAAACUCAAGAUCCUUUGGCCGACCAAGGCAAAUGUAUAACCCGUUUAGGAUCACUCCGUCUUGAUUAAGAUAAGCUCUGUCAAGCACCAGAAGAAACCUAUUUGGGAUCACUCCAUUUGGCCCAAGAUGAGCUUCGUUUAGCACCAAAAGUAACCCGUCUAGGAUCACUUCGCUUGGACCAAGAUAAGCUCCGUUUGGCACCUAAAGUGAGAAGUUUUCCUUUUUCCACAAUGCCAGACGAAAUGGACAGACCAAGUUGGCUAACCUUUCAGACAGACAAAUCAAUCCAAUCAAGUCCUUAAGAUUUCUGACAUGCGUGGUUAACCACACCUAAUGUCUAAGCGCCGGACUAGACGGUCGACGUCUGUACGAUGGAUUGGACGCCUUACGUCUAUGCAGCGGACUAGAUGUCUGACGUUUGAGCGACAGACUAGAUGUCAUUUGCACUCAAAAGUCAAUGUCACUUGAUUGUUACACGCAAUCCCAAACAUUGGCAAGCUAAUUGGACAGUCAGCUACACGGUCCGAGAUUUUGGCACAAUAGUCGGCAAAUGGCGACAGUCAGCAACCCUUACUUGAUGUGAUUACCCAGUCCAGUAGUGAUGAUGUUGAUUGUCUUAUUAAGACUCGAUUUCCAUCAGGUAAUCAUCAUUACAAGAAAGGAGGCGAUGCAAUAAUGACAAUGCCAUCAACCCUAUAUAAACCCCUCAAGAAGCACGAACAAGGUACACACACUUAUUCUCUCCCAUGAAAAUAGUUAAAGCUAUCCUCAUUGAUUUCUGACUUGAGCUUCAAAGGGGCAUGCCCGGACCACCUGUUCAGACAUCCUUCAAUGUAGGGAAAAAGUCCGCUUGACUCCAGUGAAGUUGGACUGACCUAAUUCUAGUUGGCUCAACACCAACAUUGGCAUCGUCUGUGGGAACAACUAAGGAUGUCAAUGCCCUCCAAGAGCCGAUCAUCGACUAUAGGUGGUGAAAACUACUAUGUUUGGCGUGAAAUGAUGGAGAGAUGCUAACAAGAGAAUGAUUGGCAGAUGCAAUCUCUACUUCGUCAAAGGAAACGACUCAAACAAGAGAAUGAAGAGUUGCGGACACAAAUGUCAGCAUCAGACCCCUUUCAAAGUCGACACCCUCAAAGUUAACAAACAACCACAAGACGAACUGAUGAGGCAUCUUUCCUCGGGAACACAGAGUUUUCCUCUGGCAGCUACACGAGAUGGUCUGAGAAGGAGGUUUUGCUGGCUCGCCAAACGUAGUUGGACAAAGGCGUCGACUCUACUCGAACGUCAAUGAAGAGGAGGCGCGAUAAAAGGUCGCGUUUUUUAGAUGCGAUGAGAGCUCAAUUGGGACCUCAGACAUCGAGCUUAGAGGAGCAACCAUGCAUAUCAAAAACCUUAAAGGCUUGUCUAGGUCUCCCAGCUGCAGUAGUUAUGUUGGAAUGACCCUUUUAGCCGCCAAGGCUACAAGCUGGGGCCCCGAUGACCCGAGCUCUACCCGACUCUAUUAGCCGAUGAUUGGAUGACAUACUCUCCAUGCCGUUCGACCCUUAUAUUAUUAACUAUGAGCCAUCUAGGGGGUUCAUAGUGCCAAAAUUCACGAUGUACGACGAAACAAGUGAUUCGUUCAAUCACAUCAUGCACUUCAGGCAACUCAUGACACUUGAUACAGGGAAUGAUGCACUGUUGUGUAAAGUCUUUCUGACCAGCCUACACGACCAAGCUCUUUCUUGGUUCCAUCAUCUCCCGCAGAAUUUCAUGAACACUUUCCUAGAUAUAUCAUAAGCCUUUGUGGGCCACUACUUAUGUUCCACUCGCCAUAAGCAAGAUAUAAGCACCCUACAGAAAAUCAAGUUGUAGGAGAACGAAUUGCUUAGAAACUACAUGAAGUGGUUCGGGCAAGUUGUGCUCCAAGUGGAGUUUUGCAGUAUGAAUGUCAUCUUGUAGAUCUUCAAGCGAAGCAUCAGCCUGAACACACCAUUUUUUAAGUCUCUUGCAAAAAAGUCUCAUGCAACGAUGGAUGACCUGUUUAGGCGAGUAGACAAAUACUCCAUGCUCGAAGACAAUGUUCGGGCAGCUACUCAACAGGUCUUGGUCACCAAUCGUCCGACCAAGGACUACGAGGCAUGAAGUUUUAAGCCCUCAAACCAAUCAAGACAAGAUCGUAAGAGGUAGGUUGGUUAACAUCAGCAGAAUUAGGCCAGACUGACCCCCUUCAGUAUCCCAUAUGAGAGACUUUUUCCAAUGAUCCAUAAUCUGUCAAACUUCAGAUGGCCAAAGCCAAUCAAGACAGAUCCAGCUAAACAAGAUCAGAAUAGAAGGUGUUUUUAUCAUAAGGAUCACGACCAUACCACCGAGCAAUGCAAGAGUCUCCAUUACUAGGUGGAUAAACUAAUCAAAGUAGGGCACCUAAAACAGAAUGUCCGCACAACUGGCAGGUAAAGAGAGACGGCGCAAGAGCUAGCCGUCCAAGCCCCUUCAUCUUCGACAGCUCCUAAAGCUGUCAUCAACUAUAUACAUGGAGGCCUCAUAGACAAUAGACACAAUUCUAAGCGAUAAAGGCAAAGAUUGCUCAACGCAACCUUUGUAAGAGAGUGGGUUAAUUCCGUUCAACCCAAUCUUUCCGAAAAAAAUGUGCACCCAUUGACGACACAGUUACCUUUCCUCUAGUAGGUGCUAAUCGAGUAUUGCAACCGCAUGAAGAUGCCCUAGUCCUAACACUAAGGGUAGGCGGAUUCGACGUGAGAAGGGUUCUAGUUAAUUUGGGUAGCUCAGUUGAUCUUUUGCAAAUGUCAGCCUACAAGCAGAUGGGCUACUCACCAUCCGCCCUAAAGAACCCUAGGCGUUUGCUGUCCAGAUUCAAUGGAGCUAUGACAAUUUCUCUAGGUGACGUUGUGCUGCCCGUUCAAGCUGACCCAGUCACCCUGAACAUACAAUUCUCAAUGGUCAACGAUUUGUUCCCAUACAAUGCCAUUAUGGGAUGCGCAUGGCUUCAUAAAAUGAAAAUCGUUCCCUCUACGUACCAUCAGAUGGUGAGCUGCCUCACGGAGGAGGGACAAGUCGAUCUCCUUGGCAGCCAACUGGUUAUGCGCCAAUGCUAUGAUGUGGCGCUAGAUUCCUGACAUCCAACCGAUGAGGAGACACGUUCGGAAUCAUCAAAUAUAAGAGAGGAAUAACAAUUACUAAGCCUGGCGGAGAAAGAUUCGUCUGUAGCUGAUCCACUCCAUCCAUUAUGCCUCUCACAUGGCAUAGAUCAAACCACCUAUACCAGCUCCCUACUUAUGCAAGAUGAGCUAGAACUACUAGGAAGUGUGCUUCAACGAAACAAGGACAUCUUCGCCUACACUCACUCAGAUAUGUUGGGAAUUCAUCCAUCUAUGGCUUCCCACAAACUUAACGUCACGCCCUUCUCGUGUUCUGCUCGACAAAAGAUCCAGCAUUUUCAUUUGGAUAGACAAAAUCAUCCAAAUGGAAAUAGACAAACUGUUGGCAGUUGGAUUUAUCAGAAAAGUCAAAUAUCGGGACUGGUUGGCAAAUGUGGUGGUCGUUUUAAAGAAGGAUGAGAAGUGACGAGUCUGUGUUGAUUAUACCAACCUGAAUGACGUCUACCCAAAGAAUAGCUUUCCCUUACCUCGGAUAGAUUAGAUAGUUGAUUCCACUACCGAGCAUGGGAUGCUCUCCUUCCUAAAUGCCUUCUUCGGAUAUCAUUAAAUCCUUAUAUUCCAACCGGGUGAGAAAAAGACAGCUUUUGUUACACCUCAUGGGUUGUACUACUACAAAGUCAUGUUGUUCGGGCUUAAGAAUGCUGGUGCUAAUUAUCAGAGACUAAUGAUGAAAAUCUUCAAGCCCCUGAUCAUUCGAACCGUGGAAGUCUAGAUUGACGACAUUGUUGUAAAAAGCGAAACCCGAAUUGAGCACGUCUAACACUUGGAAGAAACAUUCUAUUUGAUGUGGGCAUACAACAUGAAGCUCAAUUCAGCUAAGUGUGCAUUUGGCGUUAGUGCAGGAAAGUUUAUAAGGUUUAUGGUGAACCAAAGAGGAAUUGAAGGUAAUUUGGCUCAAAUAAAAGUUGUCAUCAAAACACCCGCCUUAAGCAGCAAAGAGGAAUUGUAGCGCCUCAUAAGUCGUCUAGCAGUUUUAGGGCGUUUCAUAGCCCGAUUCACAGACAAGAUGAGACAUUUCUUCCUCACGCUCAGGGAAGCAAGCACAUUCGGCUGGACGGAUGAAUGCAGGUACACAUUUGAAGUAGUCAAGCGCUACCUUAUUGAACCGCUCAUUCUAAACAACCCCAAGUCCGGCGAACAACUUUCUAUGUAUUUGGUUGUAUCUGACUAUGUUGUUAGUGUCGUCUUGUUUCAGCACAUACAAGACAAAGAGUAGAGGUCCGUCUACUAUGAGAACAAAGCAAUGGUAGACGCUAAGACUCGGUACUUCAAAAUGGAGCAGACGACUUUAGUCCUAAAGAAUGCCGCUCAGAAGCUCCGUCCAUAAUUCCAGGCUUAUCAAGUGAUCGUACUCACAAACGAGUCACUUCAAGUUACCCUGCACAAACUGGACCUAUCCGAACGAAUGUUGAAAUGGGCCAUUGAGUUGAGCGAGUACAAAAUCAAGUAUCAGCCAAGGUUACCAUUAAAGAGAUAAGUUAUGACCGACUUUAUAGCUGAACUUUCUAAAAAAUAAGCACAUCCGGCUGAUCGCCUUAGAGAGAAAUGGUGGACACUUUAUGUAGACAAAACAUCUAAAGUGUUCGGAUUUGGAGUAGGUUUGAUCCUACAAUCACCAAUCGGGAAACUAAUGAAACAAGCUAUCUGUCUCAAUUUUUUUGCCUCCUAUAACGAAGCAGAAUAUGAAGUUGUCUUAGUCAGGCUAGAUUUUGCCCUAGUAUUAACAACAACCAAGUUGGAAAUCAUAAAUGACUCUCAACUAAUUGUCGGAUAGAUUCAACGAGAAUAUGAAGCAAAGAAUGAACGCAUGAUUCACUACCUCGCUAUAGUGGAAAGCCGCCUGGAAAAGCUGGAUGAGUGGGUCAUUAGACGGUGUCGUGUGAGGAGAACGGGAAGACAAACGCACUAGCCGGAAUAGUUGUCAUUCUUCCCUUGAAAAAAGCGGUGAUGUUACCCGUUUACCUCAAAGCUGCUUCCUCAAUCACACUUGAGCUAGUAUGCAAUACUAGUCAAACAGACUUAGGUUAGAUGCUUAACAUUGUGAAAUACCUUCAAAUAGGAGAGGUACCAGGAUACAAGAGGCAAACGCACAAACUUCGCAUACAAGCAACACACUUCACUCUAAUUAAUGGCCAACUGUAUAAACGGUCAUUUGAAGGUCCAUACCUAAGGUGUUUGAACGAGCUAGAGGCCAAAUAUGUUCUGGCCGAACUCCAUGAAGAAAUAUGUGGCAAUCACCCAAUUGGAUGAACUUUGGCACAUCGCGUUUACAUGCAAAUGUAUUAUUGGCCCACCAUGAAAUAGGAUGUUGAAAACUAUGUUAAGAGAUGUGAUCGGUGUCAAAGACACGCUCCUAUUCCCUGUGUACUUUCUGAAGCUCUCAACCUAGUCACAAGUCAUUGGUCGUUUGCAUAGUGAAGGAUGGACCUAGUCGGGCCUUUGCCCAUUGCACCAGCACAAAAGAAGUUUUUACUCGUUGCAACCAACUAUUUUAGCAAGUGGGUGAAAGUAGGACCCUAUGCUAACAUCAAGGAUAAAGAUGUCUCCAAGUUUUUCUGGAAAAACAUCGUAUGCCGGUUCAGAGUUCCAUAAGCGAUUGUUAUGGAUAAUGGGCCACAGUUUGACAGUAUUGUCUUCUGAACAUUCUGCUUGGAGUUAAACAUCAAGAACCUAUACUCAACACCUCACUAUCCACAAAGCAACGGACAAGCGGAGACGAUAAACAAAACUUUAUUGAGUGAAUUGAAGAAAAUGUUGGAAAGGGCAAAAGGAAAAGUAGGUGAACGAGCUACUCAAAGUCUUAUGGGCUUACUGGACAAUAUUCAAACAGCCAAUGGGGGCCACGCCUUUCGCCCUUGCUUAAGGGAUGAAGGCCAUUAUUCCAACUGAGAUUGACAUGCCUACUGUCAAAACUGUUGUAUAAGACUAAAUGGACAAUGAUGAAGAACUCAUAAGACAACUGGAUUAGGCAUACGAAUUGUGAGAAAACGCGACUAUCUGGAUAGCUUCAUACCAUCAGAGGGCAAUUGCUCAGUACAACAAAAAGGCACGACCAUCGUUUUUUCGUCUAGGAUCUUUAGUCCUCAAAAGAGUCUAUGAGAGAAUAGCUGAAGUACGAGCCAGAAAGCUAUAGUCUAAUUGGGAAGGGCCAUAUGUUGUAACUAAGGUAAGAGACUUAGGGGCAUACCACCUCCAAACUCUAGACGGAGUACUCCUGCUCCGCCCAUGGAAUGUGACCAACCUAAAUUAAUAUUAUCAAUAAAAUUUCUUAUUACAACUAUGGAAGACUAGGCUUCAGUUGGCUAGAGUAAAUAAAUACAAAGAAUCAAACCCUGCCCGAGGAUCUUACAGUUCCUGUCUCAGCCGGACAACCUCUUGUUCAGCCUUCUCUUUCCUGGCUGCCAUAGUCGUCUUUUCCUCAACAGAUCGGCUCAUUCUUCAACCAUCUUCUAAGCAGCAACAGCUUGACUCAUCGUCAUCUCCAAGUUGACAAUGAGAUUCUCAUUUCCAUCCACGUUAUGGGCAACAUAUGCCCUCAUGAUCUCGGCUACUUCCAGCCAGUGGAAAAGGUGAGCACGCUGCCGUGUAAGGUUUCAGACUCUGACUACCACCUGGGGGGUAACAAAGAAAUCGUUAUUAAAUGGGAAGACUAAGGCAAAGUAAGAGGAAAAUGGGGAGACGACCUACCACUUUUGUUGUCUUAAAAGCUACCCAUUGGCGCCCAAAAACUUGAAAAUGGAUAAUCCGUCUUGUCUUAACCCCGACAGCUACCCUACCAGAUAAGGACAGACGAAUUAGAGGGCAUUGUAGAAGGCUUCACUCCACGUGUCUUUCCUAGACUCAAGACCCUUUAGCUAACCAAGGAAAAUGUAUAACCUGCCUGGGAUCACUCUGUCUGUACCAAGAUAAGCUUGGUUUAACACCAGAAAAAAAACCCGUCUAGGAUCACUCCGUUUGGCACCAAAAGUAACCCAUUUGGGAUCACUCCGUCUAGACCAAGAUAAGCUCCAUCUGGCAUCUGAAGUGAGAAGUUUUCUUUCUUUUAUAAUGCUAGACGAAAUAGACAGACCAAACCGAUUGACUUUUUCGAUAGGCAAAUCAAUCCAGUCAAGUCCUUAGGAUUUCUAACAUGCGUGGUUAACCACGCUUGAUGUCUAAGCAUCGAACUAGACGUCUGAUGUCUAUGUGACGGAUUGGAUGCCUGAAGUUUGUGCGGCAGACUGGACGCCUAACGUUUGUGCUACAAACUGAACGUCUGUUGUCUGUGCAGCGGACUAGACGUUUGAGGUCUGAGCGGCGGGCUAGACGCCAUUUGCACCCUAAAGUUAAUGUCACUCGAUUGUUACACAUAAUCCCAGACAUUGGCAAGCUAAAUGGACAGUCAGUUACACGGUCCGAGAUUUUGGCACUAUAGUCGGCAAAUGGCACCAACCAACUGCCCUUACUUGAUGUGGUUGUCCAAUCCAACGGCGACGACGUUGACUAUCCUAUCAAGGCUCAAUUUCCAUCGGGCAAUCAUCAUUACAAGAAAGGAGGCGAUGCAAUAAUGACAGUGCCAUCAACCCUAUAUAAACCCCUCAAGAAACACGAACAAGGUAUGCACACUUAUUCUCUCCCACGAAAAUAGUUAGAGCUAUCCUCAUUGAUUUCUGACUUGAGUUUCAGAGGGGUGUGCCCUGAUCACCUGUCCGGACAUCUUUCUGUGCAGGGAAGAAGUUCGCCUGACUCUAGUUAAGCUAGAUGAACCUAAUUCCAAUUGGCUCGACACUCACAGUUUGAAGUCAAGUGUUAAUUAUUUGGAGACCGAUAAAACACAAAAAAUAUAGUCAGCAUGUAAAAAGUAAUGAAACAAAAUUGUCAAUUAAAUAAAAUAUAUCUAUGGUAAUUGUAUCAAUAUUUGGUUUCUCUUAUUCCCAUGGUAUUUAAAUUCACCUCUAGUAAUGAAACACAGUCACCUUAUAUUCAAUAAAAGAACCCUCGGUAGUAAAGUUGAAGUCACAAGUCUUAAGCUUUGCAAAACUGAAGUCCAAGAGCAUCACCAGUAACUCUAUAUCCCUAGAGGCGAAAGUUUAGAUGUCGCGUGCAUGACCAAUGACCUUGGAGGUUGGCUCAGCGGCUUCUUGGAGAGGAUCAUCCAUAACAAAGACGCUAUUGAAAAGAGUUGAGGUGUUUUUAAGACCGUGGGGGAGGUUUGCAUGGGCUACCAUGAAUGCACUGGGGUUUUUUUCUAGUGAUAGUGUCAUUGUGGAAGAAGUGAGGAUGGGUCAUCUUCUCUUUCAUCUUUGGAUUGGCUAUGCUCUCUGAAUAGUAUUUUGAAUGGAUUGGAAUGACACAAAUGUAAAGGAUCAUCACAAUGCAGACUAAAACCAGUCUUCCCUCCAUUUUCCCUUUGUUUAGAGCUUUUGUUUUACAUGCCUCCAUAGGAUUACCACUAGGAUUUUAUAUGGCAUUAUUCCUGGUGCUACGUGUUAUUCCCCAGUGAAAAUGUUUGCUUGAUUGGAGUUCAAGCAACUGUCAAAGGUUCUGACACCUAAUUGAAUGUGAAUUUUGGUGGUUUGUAGCUUUGGAAGUAGGAACGAUAUCCAACUUUUAAAGCCCUGGAUCCUUCCAGAUUUUCCUUCUAGAUUUGUGUUCAUCCUAUCACUAAUUACAUUCCAGGUUUCAAAUAUCCGAAUACAUCAUUGAUAUAUCGAAAUAUAUCCAUGAAUCCCAAUACGAAAUUUGAAAAGAUAUAUGUAGACCCCAAAAUUUGGCCCAUUUAAUUUAUUUAUUUAUUAUUGUCUUUUUAACCUAAUAUUUUAAACCCAUUUUAUUUUAAUUUUUAAUUUUCAACUUUAAUUUUAUUGUUAUUAUUAUUAUUAUUAUUAUUAUUAUUAUUAUUAUUAUUAUUAUUUAUUUAUUUUAUUUUAUUUUAUUUAUUUUUUCUUUCUUCCUCUUCUCUCUCUCAUCCCCCAAGCAACUCUCACUUACCUUUUCUUUUUUUUCCUAUCUUCUUUCUUUUAUUCCUAUUUCUUUCAUCAUUUUCCAUUUUUAUUUCUUCUUUCCUUUUUCCCCACACUCAUCCUUUAUUUUCUCCCCAUUUCUCACUCUUUCUCUCUCACUCACCCUUCAUAUCACUGUCGGUCAUGCCACUAUCGGUGGUCUCCACGACGCUGAUAACGACCAUCUUGCGUCGGCCACUCCCUUGUUUCUUUUUCGUUUUUCUUAUUUUUUUUUUUCUCUCUCUCUCUCUCUUUCUCUCUCUCUUUCUAUCUCUCUUUCCCUCCUCUCAUUUCUCUCUCCCUCAUCCCCAUGAUGACUGCCCAUCUCACCAUUGCUACCGACGAUGCCACUACAGCAACACCAUUGCUGGCAAAGCCACCACCGAUCGACAGUCUCUUCCACCGCCGGUGACUGCCCCCCAUCUCCGGCCAUAUCUUCCAUGUCUCUAUAUUUCUCUAUCUCUCUCUGUCUCUCUUUUCUCUCCACCUCGACACUCAUUCUUUCCACUUUCAUUUUGGAGGUAACCCUUUCUUUUUUCCUUUUGAUUUCUACAGUGCUUUGUUUGGAGAUUUAGGUUUUGUUUGUUUGGGAUUUGGAUUAUGUUUAUGGGCUUUAAGAAUAUUGGGCUUACAUGGUUAUUGAUUUGGGCUGCAAAUUUAUGUGAUUUGGGCUUACAUAUUAUUAGAUAUUGUUAUUGGGCUUAUUUGAAUUUCUUUGAUUUUUGUUUUUCUUGGUGUUUGGACUGGUGUUUUAGCACUAUGCUAAGAGUGGAGAAACAUGGAAACUGUUGGGGUAGGUGAAGACAAGGCAUGGGUUGAGCUAAUUGAGGACCAUAAUUUUUGGAUUUAAAAGGAAAAAAAUGAGCAGAAAUCCAGAGGGGGAAGGACGACUCUAGAGACUUUUUCUAAUCUUCUAUGUAUUUUCUAUGAUUUUUGUGAGAGGGUUGAGAGUUUUUUUUUGUAUUUUUUAGCUUCAUUUUGGAAGCUUUUGGAGGGUCAUUGUUGUUAUUAGGACUGCACUUCUAAGGUUACUCCUACAUCCUUUUGCUCCAAGUUUUGUUGUAUAUAUUCAUUUCAGUUUUCUUCUUGUGUACAUGUAGAUCUAUUACUAGUGUUUAGAUUUUUAUUGUAUAUGUAUGUUUAAUUUGUUAUUCAUAAAUUAAUUUUUAUUUCCAUUUAUUUGUUAUCCUUAUUUAAUAUGCUCUAUUAGCCUUUGUUUUGAGAAGGAGUAUAUUUAUUUGAGUUUUAUUUUUCUGUUGAGGGAAUAAUCUAAUAAUGGGAUAAUGUUUUUGUUUGAAAAAUAUUUUAUUUCAUUUUUUUUUUCUUAUCUUUAAUGAACGAAAAUUCUUUUCAAAAUAAAUAGUUAGCUCUUUUUAAUAAAUGUUUUGUUUAAUAAUCUGGUUUUUGAAAGACUUCUUUUUAUGUUAAUAAAUAUAAAAAACCAUUUUCUUAAAAUCAUAUCAGAAACCUUUUUUUAAAAAUAAAAAAUAAAAUAAAAUAAAAACUCUUCAAAAAUUGAAAAACGUACGUUUUUUUUUUUUAAAAAAAACAUAAGAAAAAAAGAAACAUGUUUUAGAAUAAAAUUGAAAAGGAAAAGAAUAUAUUUUUUAUUUAAUAAAAUUGAAUUUCCCUUUAAAAUAAAUUGAGAUUUUUUAAAAAUAUUUUUUUGAAUAAAUAUUUUUUUUAAUUUGAUAUCACGUUUUAAAAAAAAAAUAAAUUUGAACUCUUUUUUUUCUUUUCUUUUUUUAAUAAUUAAUUUAAAAUAAUUUUUUAGAAUAAAAUGGGGGUAACUUUCCUUUAUAUAAAAAAAAAUUGUAAAGCUUUUUAAAAUAAAUUUGAGAGUUUUUUUUUGUAAAGUAUAUAUAUAUUUUAAUUACUUUCUAAUUCAAAUAGAAGUUGGUUUUUGUCAAUAAUUUUUUUUUUGAAAAUAUUUGGAAAAAAAAUAUUAAAAUUUUUUUUGAAAGGAAUUCUUUUGUAAAUAAAAUUGUGGAAAAGGUCUUUGUUUUGAAAUAAAAGAUGAAUUAAAUUUUAUUUUUAGAUAAACUUAUAAAAAAAAUCUUUAUUUUUUCUUUUUCUUAAUAAAAGUUAAACAAAUUCCCUUAUCUAAACUAAAAUUUUGAAAAAUCACCUCUUUUAAAUCAAAUUUGCAAAACACUUUUAUUACUAUUAUUAUUAUUAUUCAUAAAUAAAAUUGUAAACAAUUUUUUUUUAAAUAAAAUUGAAUUAACAUUUUUAUUUUAUGAUAAAAAUCAAGUAAAAUUCUUUCCUUUUAAAUAAAACAGUGAAAAUGUAAAAUUAUUUCUUUGAACCAAAAAUAAAAUUUUGAAGUUCCUAUUUAAAUCAAAAAUCGAAUUGAAUCCUUUUGUGAAUAACAUUUGAAAAAUCAUCUUUAAAUAAAAUCAGUUAAACUUUCUUUUUAGUUUUUUUAUUUUUUUACUUUUAGUCUUAAUAAAAUUGAAUAUACCAUUUUUUUAUAAUUUUAAUUUUUUUAAUAAAAUCAAACAAUAUAUAAUUUGUGGUAGAUAAAAAAAAAAGGAUCGAAACAUUUUUGUAAUUAAUUUUGAAAAAAUUUGUGUUUCUAUUAAUUUUUUUGUAUUAAUAAAAUUGGAUUGAAUGUUAAUUUUUUUUUUUUUUAAAUAAAAGUGUAAAAGUCUUGGUCUUUUUUUAAUUGAAACAUUUUUCAUUGAUAAAGUUAUAAUUUAUUUCUUUUUAAUUUAUAAACUUUUUUUUUUCCUAAAUAAGGAUUAAACUUGAAAUACUUUGUAAAUAAAGUUGUAAAAAUUCAUUUUUUUUUCCUAACAAAGGUAAAUAAAAAUCAUUUUUUAAAAUGAAAUCAAAUUCUUUUUAUUUUCUCUUAACAUAUAUAUUAUUUUUAAUAAAUUCUUUUAACAUAUAAAGUGUAAAUAACUUUUUUUUUUUUUUUUGAAAAUUGAAUACAAAUGAAAUUGAGAAAAUAAAUUAACUUGUUUUUUAAAAAUAAAUUAAAAUCAUUAAAUCAAAAUCAUUUUUAAUAAAAUCCUUUGAAAUUUUUUGAAAACUUUUAUUUAUUUAUUUUUAUUUAGCUCAAUAAAUCAUUUUGCAUAAUUCUCUUGUUAUUUAUUUUAUGUAUUCUUGUAAUUAGAUUUCAUCAUUAUUUCUUUGAAUAUUGAUUCUCAUCAUGACUUGUGCAUUGAUUAUUUUUCUUGGUAUCCAUAAUUAAUCAAUUAAUUACCACAAUUCCCUUAAUUCGUUUAGUAAAAGUCGUGCGUAUACAGGCUUAGAGGGGUGCUACGGCUCACCAUCGUACCUUCCGAAUAAGUAACCUGACCCUCGGACCCAGACUUGAUUUUUUACAGACCUGUUUUUCCUUCAAGAGUCACACUUAGGGUUCUUAUUUGUUAUUUUGUUUUUCCCUUAAAAAAAUAAAACAAAAAUAAAUGGCGACUCCAAGUUUUUUUUUUUUUUAAAUCAAAAUUUCACAAAUAAAUAAAAGCGAGUUUCACCAUCGAGUGGGAACGCAUUGUGCGAAAAUGCGGGGUUCACAAAAUGGUGACUCCACUGGGGAUAGUUUAGAGAGUCAAACGUGAACUCGAGUUGAGGAAAAUGUGGCAUUUGAUUGGUCGAUCAGUGGAUACUCCUCUCUAUGUGUCUUGGUAUGAUUGGUUGUUGAUUACACGUUGAGAGCUUUGAUAUGUUUAUAUGUGAUACAUGUUUGGUUGUUAUGUUCAUUUGAGAUGUUCACAUGUUGACUACAUUGAUUGAUUUUCUUACCUACUUUUGCAUAGUGACUCUUCUUGUUGUAUAAUUAUCUUGUUCUCCUUCAUAUGUAUAUUCUCAUUUUUGUAUAUCUCAUUCAUAUUGACAGGAUUGAUUCUCUUUAUUGUAUAUUAUCUUGUUUAUCUAAACAUAUUGUUUAUCCUUGUUAUAUACCUAUCUUGUUUAUCCUAUUUUUUGUUUAGCUUGUGUGUAUAUAUGGAUGAUAUACCUGUUAUUUGUAUGACUGCUCUUCUUCUAUGUGAUGCAUGUAUUGCUUGUCUACGUGGGACACAUAUCUAUCCCCUUACCUCAAACUCCUUAGUCUUGGUCGACCUUGUUUCCCUUGAUCUCAUAUUUGAUAUGAGACUUGUUACUUUGUUUGCUCUUCGAUCGAGCUAGUGAUUCAGAAUAGGGUUUAGUGAUGGGCUAUAUCUAUGUUCGGGAGCAUUCUGGAGGAAGUCGACACAUUGAUGUUGAUUGGAGUCCGAUCUUUGAAGACUUGUUCAACCUAGAGCUAGAUUUCAGGAUAUUUGUGUGACCAGUGUGUUUUCUCUCUACUUAGUUUGAUAGGAUUUUCGGAUGCACCCACACCACUCACUAUGCACUUUAGUCGACUACUGAGUGUUGAGAGUUGCGAGUGUUUUCACCAUAGGAAACCCCCUGGGAUGUCGAGGUAGUGUAUGUGUGGAGGUGAUGACCACCUUACAUGGAAGUGCCCCGUCUCUUUGAAGGCGUGCAGAGGGUUGCGUACCACUGGAGGGUAUGAUUGCUUCUGCUAGGGAUUCUUUAAAGUCCACCCCUAUUCUUUUUAGAGCCACCUUGACCUUGUAGGUUAAGCCUUAGAUCAUUCAAUCAAGAUUUUCUCUCCUACACGUGGGUGCAUCUGAGGGCCUUUAGAGCCUCUUUAGUUAUAGUUCGGAUCCAAUAAUCCAUUUUUUGAUCUCCAAUAGAGAGUGCUCAAAGAUUAGUGCGAGCUUGAGUUUCAGUUGGACCACUUUUCUGCAUUGUGUUGACUUGUUUCUUCUAGUUUAGUCUAGCCUCCCUUUUAUAUUUCUCUCGCGUCAUGCUUUAUCUCGUUUUCCCAUACUUUAUAGGAUUUGCUCUUCUUCUCAAUUUGAGUUUGCCAUCUUGAGUCAGAGUUGACAAUAGACUGUUUUGCAUCAUUGAUCAGAUAGAUAUGGAUCCGCAGACCAUCAUAGUUGAUCAGUUCACAACCACUAUGGCUUCUGUUCAGGAGGUCAUAGAUAGUCUCAAUCAGAAGCUCGACAGUCAGUAGGGUAUACACCCAUCCCCAUCUCUCGGACCAUCAAUGCCACAGGCCUCGCCUUUCAUGCUACAUGGUUAGUCUGAGGUUGCUCCACCUGUUAUAGCACAGACCACAAUCUCUAAGAAUGUACAUGCUCGCAUGGAUCGUCUCGAGCAACAAAUCAAGCAGAUCAGGAUGUUAGAUAGUUAAGUUGCUUGGGAUGAUUCUGAUGGGAUACCAGUGGCCAAUUUACCAGUUGAGUUCAGGAUGCCCGAGAUAAACAGAUACACCAACAUCGGUUGUCUUUGCAUUCAUCUCAUACUUUAUAGCACCAUUAUGAGGGCCUACGGAUUGGAUGAGACCUAGUUGAUUGUUCUAUUCCCAUUAUCUUUGAGUGGCGUAACUCAGCGUUGGUAUGCAUCAUUAGAUUCCUUUCGCUGCAGGACUUGGGAGAACUUAGCUCAGGAGUUUAUACGACAGUUCGCUUUUAAUACUGGCGUAGAUAUAUCGAGGAGGGAGUUAGAGACAUUGAGACAGGGGUCUGAUCAGUCAGUUUAUUCUUUUAGCUCUUAUUGGAGGGAGAAGUUUGUCCAGGUUAUUGACCAACCUACUAAGAGAGAGUAGAUACAGAUGGUUGUGAGAAUAUUACAACCCAAGAUUGCCAGACAUGUGAUUGGAGUACCUUUUAUAAAUUUUGGAUCUUUGGUCAUGGCCUUUUUCAGUGUAGAGGACGGUCUUGCGAGAGGAUUAUAACCGGAUUAUUUCCUUAUUGAUUCUAAGAGGAAGAAGCCAUCGGGAGAGUAGAGGCUAGAUGUCAAUACUAUUUCUCCUACUAGACAGAGGACCUUCAAACGUCACUAGUCAACCUCACAUGCUGCCAGAGGUUAUUCUUCCUACUCUCAAUAUUAGUAUAGACAGUCGGUUCAACCCCAACCUUUUGAUUGGACAUACUCAUAUUUUACUCCCCCACAAACAGGCUAUGCUAAUCAGUUCAUAGGGAGACCUUCUACUUCCAUUCCUAGAGCCAAACCUCCACAGUCUCGCACUUCUUUUACUCCGAGGAUAUCACGAUGCUUCUCUUAGUUAAGGAUGCCAUUGAGCCAGGCUCUUCGGAAGCUAAUGGAUGUUAGAUUAUUAACCCUGUUGGAGCUUAAGCCUCUCCCUCAGCCCAUCUCACCACAGUUUAGGAUGGACCUAUAGUGUUCCUACCACCAGAGACAGGGACAUGACACAAAUUGAUGCACUGUUCUUCGACAUGCCAUCCAAGAUGUUAUUGAUUGGGGUUCGAUUAGCUUGGAUCAGUUAGGUGUGACUUCCAACCUUGUGAUUGUUCAUUCUACUCAUGUGGUUCCUCUUUCUACAAUUAGUAUUCCUUCCAUUGAUCAUGUUGAUGAUGACGGUGUACAGAUGAUGAGAUCAAAGGAUACUGAGUCAAAGCCUAUCAUAUUGGAUGAGAGAUCUCAUGGAGGAUACUAGUGUUUUCUCUGAGACUAGAGACAUGGCAAACAUGGCAGUUCUUUAUGAUGAGUUUGAGGUGGAUGCAUUAGACGUUAGUUAAAUGGUUAGCAUUGAUUAGCCAGAGACGAUCCAUAUUUUUUUUUAUAUAUGUUUGGGGUCUUCGUUAUCAGGAGUUUAGAGGAGAUUCAGCUUCACCUGCUUCAGAGCUGAUAUAGAUUUCUUGCUUAUUUGAAUGAUGUGUUUGAGGGCAUUGCUAGCCCGGUUAUGGUAGAAUCCGACCUUGUGGGCUCACCAUUUUCAUAGACGUGUUAUUGGAUUUUUGUCUCUUGUUUUGAGGAUGUUCCUAUUUUUUUUACAUAUGGAUUUGAGUAUUUUUUUAGUACUUGUGUGGCUCUUGUGAUAACUUUCUUCUUGCACAUCUUGUUCAUCUCACCUCACAGUUCAUUCAGAUUCAUCUAUUCUAGGAGAUCCUCGGGGACAUUCAGACCCAUUUGGGAUGGACCCCACGUUAUUAGAGUGUUGACCCUAAAGGUGCCAACAUGAUUGACAUAUCUAGAUAGAAAUAAUUUCUUAGACCUGAUCGAUGUAGAUCAGCUGAAGAAGUAUUAUGUUUGAGAUCGUGGUCACAGGAUGGGUGGCCACCAUUUCGGUUAGCCAUAUACCUUGUUAUCUCUUUUUGGCAUACAGACCGUUGCUAGCCCAUUGAGCCUCGCAUGUGCAUCAGAGCCUUUCUUUCUUAUUACCUUGCUUACAUCUCUACAUCGGGAUAGGGGCCCUUUAGUAUAUGCAUGCUUCAUUCAGGAGUUUCAUAAGCCUUAGGCCUACGGGCACAUCUUUCUCUCACUAUUUUUCCUACCAUCACACUACUGCAUUUCAUCACAUCUCAUUGGUUGUGUUCUUCAUAUUUUCUUCUUUAUUCUAUCUACUACUUGUUUUGUUCCAUAUUCUUUCCACCCUGAGUGGUGAUCCUUCUCAGUUCAUUACAUGGAGGAUAGUCACAUCAUUUCCACCAUCUAUCACACGGACAUUGAUGCGAAGACCCUUGGUUUGAGAAGGUCAUCUCAUUAGAGAGAGUUUAUGCUAAUUUAGCACUUGAGAGCGUGUCUAUCUAUUAUUGAUAUCAUCUUUGGAGCUUAUUUUGUUCAUGGUCAGGGUAUGUUCAUUUGUAUAUUUGUAAAAAAAAAAAAUGAAGAAAAAAGAGGAUGAAAUGAAAAAAAUAAAAAUAAAAAUAAGCACAUGUGUGUAUGUGCAUAGUAUUCUCCAUCGUUGGGCGUGCAUAUUGAUAUCCGAGGGUCACUUUAUUGAGUAUGAUUGUUGGUGAGAGUUUGUAUGUGAGCUUUCUGAGAUCAUUUUUUCUUUGUAUUCACUUUAUCAUAUCUCUUUGAGAGUGAGAUGAGUGACCUUCUCCAUGGAGCUUUGGGUCAUUGUCUUUUCCAUCAUUACAUUCAUUGUUGAUGUGACUUCACUCCAUGUUUGAUUUGAGUUGAUCAUCACUUUUCUUCGUAUAUUCAUUGUUUCACUAUAUUACUUGUCAUUGCUUGUGAUUCAUCCCAUUUGCUUCACCCCCUUAUUCAUCCCUUACAUUGACCUAUUCCAAGUUUGAUAUUACAUUUGCAUCAUUCUUGCUUAUCUCAUUAUUAGAUUGAUUGGUUUCAUUGUCUCAUUAUUAAUAUUAUAUUCACUUUGGGCGCCCUUAGGUCCAUGGCUCAUGAGCUUUUCUCUACAUGUUGCAUUUUAUACACGAUGACAUGGUUUUUUUUUAUCAUUGAGUAUUUGGGCCUAGUUUCCCUUCAUUUCUAUUACCUUAUCACCCUAGCCUAUGUUACAUCCCGUGUUUUAAGACCACUCUAAGGCCAUGGGAUCAGAUGUUGUCUUCGACAACCCCUACUUGGACAAGUGUUUAAGAUUUGGUUGAUAUUUAGAUAUCAUCAUGCUUCUUCUUCUGAGAGACGUCUCUUUGACCUUUGGAUUCGAUUCAGUUGUGGAUUUGGAUGACUGGGAUUGCACAUUUGAUGAUAGAUGAUCUGAUGUUGUCUGAUUUUUCGAUAUACCAUACAUCUGAUGUCAUAUUGGGGCAUAUUUCCCUUUCGGUUGAGAUUUAUUGAUCUGCAUGGAGUUGCAUGAUCAUCUCCACUUACGAGAUACACACCGAGAUGAUGACUUGUUUGUUAUCUUAUCAUGAUCCCUUAGUGGAGCCUUUCUUGGGCCAUUCAUUUUUAAUAUUUAGAUGUCCCCAUGUUUUUUCUUUUGAGAUACGCUUUUUGACCUGUGGAUUAGAUUUAGUUGUGGAUUUGGAUGAUUGGGAUCACGCAUUUGAUGAUGGAUGAUUUGAGGUUGUCCAAUUUUCUGAUCUACCACACGUUAGAUGUUACACUGGUGCAUACCUCCUCUUCGUUGAGAUAGUCAAUCUUUCAUUGAUUUGACAGCUUGAUUUUAUCAUGAUUCCCUAGUAGAACCUCUCUUGAGCUAGUGAGUCGUGCCCAUACUUUCUUGAUAUCACCAUGAUUCCCAAUGGAGUUGUGUUGAUGAGAUGGAUGUGACUCCUCAGUGGUGUAUUGUUGGGUUUAUUGACAGUUUUCAUCAUUUCGAGUUCUUCAUGUAGAGCACUUUUGAGAUGGAUCAUCCAUUUGGAUUGUUGUUGAGUUGGAGAUAGUUCUUAGAGCAGUGGGCAGAUCUUGUAUACUGGGGCAUAUUUCCCACACUUUAAGGUUAUCAUAUCUACGUUAGAUUUAGUUGGGCUAUAUCAGAGACACAUUUCUAUUCUUGAGAUUAUCAGACCUCUUGUCAUUUUGGGUUGUCCUUUUGAGAUUCGAUUUAGGGUAUUUUCCUUGGGACAUUGAUAGAUUUAUCAUUUUGAUUUCUUAGUGGAUUAUCGUUGAGUUGGAGUCAUCUUUGAUUACCACAAUUCCUCAAGGAGUAUUUCGAGCUAGUCAAUUGCACGAUGAUGUUUAUCCUUUUCAGUAGAGUGGAUCAGUUUAGUUUUUCUCAUCUGUAGAUCUUCUUGGACAGUAUAUCGAUAUUUCAUCAAAGUGUUCAGUUUGAUGUCAUCUUUAUCAGAGUAUUUGACAAGCAUCCUAUUUUUCUUAGUUGGGCAUCUCAUAUGCCGUGUUGGCAGUUGUAGUUUAAGUGUUGGACAGAGUUUUGGUACAGUUCAUGCUUUUAUGAUAGAGUUCUGAGUGAUAGUGAUUUUCUUUAGUAUUGGGCCAUAUUUUGGAUUCGUUAUCAUAGACUCAUUGAUAAUUGAUCUUUUUAAAUGAUAGUAGACAUGGGCCCAUAGCCAUUGUUUAGUUGAGUAUUUGUGAUAUAGAAAUCUUUCAGUGACAUUUGUGUGACAUUCUAUUGGCCCUACGUGCUCGCACAUUUAUAUCAGGGUGUUGUGUCAGAUAGACUCGAAGACGCGAUUGAUCCUUAUAACACUGGGGCAUACCCCCUUCAUCGAGAUUAUUAGGUCUUUUGUUGACUUCAUAGAUGCUCGAUCCAUCUGUUAAUCCUUAUGAGUCAUCAUACUAGGGCAUACCCCAUUCAUUGAGAUUGUCAGAUAUUUGUUGACUUCAUGUCCACUCAUUCCAUUUGCUGAUCUUUAUGAGUUAUCAUCUUGGGCGUGUACCAUUUCUCAUUGAGUUCAUUAUCCCAGUCAUUCCUUCCUUCUGAGUCCAUUUUAGUUGUUUUAGCUAUAGAUCAUAUUCCUUUGUUCUCAUUUUUGUUUCAAGUGUUCUUGGUUGUAGACCUCAUGUUUCUUCUUCAUUUAGUUUGAUAAAUUAUCACUCUUUUCUUGAGCAUCAUCUAGAACAUAUCUCCAUCCUUGAGUCAUUUCGAUCCUCCUUGUUAGUGAGUUGAUAUUUUCCUGAUCUUAGUCACCAUUUAGUGGUUUGACUUGGAGUUGCAAACCACAAUCUCCUUCUUUAGGCAUACAGUGCCUACAUCUUAGAGUUGUUCAUUGCACCCACAACCCAGAGCUGUUCAUUUUAUCUUAGUUCUGAGUUGUUAUCGCUUCAGUUUCAUUUGUGGCAUCCUCUCGUUUUAGUUUCAUUUGUGUCAUCCUUUUAUCUUUGAGUUUCAUUUGGGGCAUACCCCCAUCCUUUAGUCAUUUUGAUCUUUCUUGUUAGUGAGUUGAUAUUUUUCUCAUCUUGGUCACCCGUUGGUGAUUUGACUUGGAGCCGUAGACCGCGAUCUCCCUCUUUAGGCGUACAAUGCCCACAUCUUAAAGUUGUUCAUUUCGUUACAGCCUGGCUAUUCAUUGCACUUUAGUUAUGAGUUUGUUAUCUUUUCAGUUUCAUUUAUGGCAUCCUCUUGUUUUAGUUUCAUUUGUGUCAUCCUUUUAUCGUUGAGUUUCAUUUGGGGCAUACCCCCAUUCUUUACUCAUUUCGAUCCUUUUUGUUAGUGAGUUGAUUUUUUCCUCAUCUUAGUCAUUCUUCAGUGGUUUGACUUAGAUUCGUAGACCAUGAUCUCCCUCUUUAGGCGUACAGUGCCCACAUCUUAGAGUUGUUCAUUUCAUUACAGCCCAGUGUUGUUCAUUGCAUCCACAACCCAGAUCUGUUCAUUGCACUUUAGUUCUAAGUUUGUUAUCUUUUCAGUUUCAAUCGUGACAUUUUUUUAAUUUUUUUUUAGUUUCAUUAGCCCUACUCGCUUUCUUUGAGUUUCAUCUGAGGCAUCCCAUUUCCUUGAGACAUUUAGAUCUUCAUUUUUAGUGAGUUGAUCACCCUCAUCUUGGUCAUCCUUUAGUGGUUCGACUUGGAGUUGCAGACCGCGAUCUCCCAUUUUGGGCGUACAGUGCCCCUUUUCUUGAGUUGUUCAUGACAUUCACAACCCCGAGCUAUUCAUUGCAUCCACAACCCUAAGUUGUUCAUUACAUCCAUAGCCCUGAGCUGUUCAUUUCAUUACAACCUUGAGUUGUUCAUCAUCUUUAAACAUCCUUGAGUUAUUUGACCUAGAGUUUGCGUAUGACAUUCUCUCUUUUAGCCGACCUUUAGGCAUUCAGUGCCUACAUCCUUGACUUGUUCAUUAUUCUACAACCCUGAGCUAUUCAUUGCAUCAUAGCUCGAUGUUGUUCAUUUCAUAUUCAUUAGCAAUGUGCACCUUAUCUUCACAGCUUUGCACUUGUCGUUUUUUUCUUCACUUCGUUACAUUAUGCUUAUCAUUUCGUUAUCAUGCUAUCCUAGAGUUUCCUCUCCUCUAUGGCACAUGACAUAGUCUUUCGAGCUCGUAGCAUGUGUCUUGAUUAUAUUGUUGGAUACCCUAUGCCUUGUGUCCUUGUUUUGUACACGUAUGGUUUUUUUUUCCCUUUGUACUCAUUCCUAUGCUUUUCAGUGGUUCAAUUGCUACUUGACUUCAAUAUCGAUUUUCGAGUCACUUUUGGAGACUUUUCAAGAGUUCUGGAUCCAUAGUGUAACUUUAGCAGCACCUUAGGAGUUUCCAUUCUUGCCAUUUCAUUUUUGUAGGGUUUUAGAGCCUCUUUGUUCUUGUUUUGGUUUAAAAGAGCUCAUGUCAUAUUGGGACAAAUUUGAUGGUCUUUUUUUUUUCUUCUGUAGAGCCCACUAUGUUUCAUUUAUGUAUACACUUACUUUACUUGUAGACUCUACCGAAGAGGGGCAUAUUUGUAGACCCCAAAAUUUGUCUCAUUUAAUUUAUUUAUUUAUUAUUGUCUUUUUAACCUAAUAUUUUAAACCCAUUUUAUUUUAAUUUUUAAUUUUCAACUUUAAUUUUAUUAUUAUUAUUAUUAUUAUUAUUAUUUAUUUUAUCUUAUUUUUUUAUUUAUUAUUUUAUUUUAUUUUAUUUUAUUUAUUUUCUCUUUCUUCACCUUCUCUCUUUCAUCCCCAUAACAAUUCUCACUUACCUUUUCUUUUUCUUCCCAUUUUCUUUAUUUUCUUCCUAUUUCUUUCCUCAUUUUCCAUUUUCUUUCUUCUUUCAUUUUUCCCCACACCCAUAUCCUUUAUUUUCUCCCCAUUUUCCCUCUUUCUCUCUCAUUCACCCUUCAUAUCACUGCCAAUCGUGCCACUUCUGGUGGGCUCCAUGACGCCGACAACAACCAUCUUGCGUCGGCCACCCUAUUGUUUAUUUUUUCAUUUUUCUUCUUCUCUCUCUCUCUUUCCAUCUCUCUCUCUCUCUCUCCCUCAUCCCCAUGAUGGUUGCCCAUCUCACCACUGCUACCAGCGAUGCCACUACAGCUAUACCAUUGCUGGCAACGCCACCGUCGACCGACAGUCUCCUCCACCGCUGACGAUUGCCCCCCACUCCAGCCAUGUCUUCCAUGUCUCUAUAUUUCUCUAUUUCUCUCUCUAUCUUUCUUUUCUCUCCACCCUGACACUCAUUCUUUCCACUUUCAUUUUGGAGGUAACCCUUUCUUUCUUCCUUUUGAUUUCUAUAAUGCUUUGUUUGGAGAUUUGGGUUUUGUUUGUUUGGGCUUUGGAUUGUGUUUAUGGGCUUUAAGGAUGUUGGGCUUACAUGGUUGUUGAUUUGGGCUGUAGAUUUGUGUGAUUUGGGCUUACAUAUUAUUGGAUAUUGUUAUUGGGCUUAUUUGAAUCUCUUUUAUUUUUGUUUUUCUUGGUGUUUGGACAGGUGUUUUGGCACUAUGCUGAGAAUGGAGAAACAUGGAAGCAAUUGGGGCAGGUGAAGACAGGGCAUGGGUUGAGCUGACUGAGGACCAGAAUUUUUGGAUUAAAAAGGAAAAAAAUGAGCAGAAAGCUAGAGGGGGAAGAACGACUCUAGAGACUUUUUCUAAUCUUCUUUGUAUUUUCUAUGAUUUUUUUUUUAUGAUAAAAAUCAAGUAAAAUUCUUUCAUUUUAAAUAAAAUAGUGAAAAUGUAAAAUUACUUCUUUGAACCAAAAAUAAAAUUUUGAAGUUCUUGUUUAAAUCAAAAAUUGAAUUGAAAUGCUUUUGUGAAUAACAUUUGAAAAAUCAUCUUUAAAUAAAAUCAGUUAAACUUUCUGUUUAUUUUUUUUUAUUUUUUUACUUUUAGUCUUAAUAAAAUUGAAUAAACCAUUUUUUUAAUAAUUUUAAUUUUUAAAUAAAAUCAAACAAUAAAUCAUUUGUGGUAGAUAAAAAAAAAAAGGAUCGAAACAUUUUUGUAAUUAAUUUUGGAAAAAUUUGUGUUUCUAUUAAUUUUUUUGUAUUAAUAAAAUUGGAUUGAAUGUUCAUUUUUUAAAAAAUAAAAAUAAAAGUGUAAAAGUCUUGGUCUUUUUUUAAUUGAAACAUUUUUCAUUGAUAAAGUUAUAGUUUAUUUCUUUUUAAUUUAUAUAAAAAAAAACAUUUUUCCUAAAUGAGGAUUAAACUAGAAAUACUUUGUAAAUAAAGUUGUAAAAACUCUUUUCUUUUUUUUCCUAACAAAGGUAAAUAAAAAUCAUUUUUUAAAAUGAAAUCAAAUUCUUUUUAUUUUCUCUUUAUAUAUAUAUAUUAUUUUAAAUAAAUUCUUUUAACAGUAUUAAGUGUAAAUAACUUUUUUUAAAAAAAAUUGAAUACAAAUGAAAUUGAGAAAUAAAUUCAUUUUUUUUAAAUAAAUUAAAAUCAUUAAAUCAAAAUCAUUUUUAAAAAAAUCCUUUGAAAUUUUUUGAAAACUUUUAUUUAUUUAUUUUUAUUUAGUUCAAUAAAUCAUUUUGCAUAAUUCUCUUGUUAUUUAUUUUAUGUAUUAUUGUAAUUAGAUUUCAUCAUUAUUUCUGCGAAUAUUGAUUUUCAUCAUGACUUGUACAUUGAUUAGUUUUCUUGGUAUCCAUAAUUAAUCAAUUAAUUACCACAAUUCCCUUAAUUCGUUUAGCAGAGGUCGUGCGUAUACGGACUUAGAGGGGUGUUAUGGUUCACCACAGUACCUUCCCAAUAAGUAACUUGAUCCCCGGACCCAGACUCGGUUUUUCACAGACCUGAUUUUCCUUCAGGAGUCACACUUAGGGUUUUUAUUUCUUAUUUUGUUUUUCCUAAUGUUUUCAGAAUCGAACCGAUCAUCGAAUUAGAAAAGUUACCGGUUCACUGGUCGGACCGAUGGUCGAACCGGUGACGUCAUUAAUAUAUAUAUUUUUUAUAUAUUAUUAAAUUUUAAAAAAAAUUAAUAAAUAAAAAUAAUAAAUUCUAUAUAAAUUUUGACAAUAUCUAUCAUGUUUAUUAAUUUUUUUCACAAAAUUUUUCAUAUAUAGUUGUCAAUCAACCCAAUAUUUUCAAUAAUUUCAAUAAAUUAAAAUAUCAAUAUGUAAUAAAUAAAACAAAAAUAUAAAAUUAAAUAUAAAAUUUUAAAAAACUAAAAUGGAAGGUUCCAGUCGUGGGGGAUGGGGGGAGGAAAGAGAUAGAAAAUUAAAUUAAAAAAAAACUAAAAUGGAAGGCAACUUUUCCAGUCAUGGGUGGAGAAGGAGAGGGAAAGGGGCGGGGGGGAGGUAGGGAGGGAAGAAGAGAGUAAGAGGGGUUUCCAGUCGUGGGGGGAUGGGAGGAGAGAGAGAGAUGGGAGAUUUCUAAAGGUGGGGGGAACUUCCAGUGGGAGUGUGGACCCGCAUUUUUCACUUGCGCCCCCACUCAAUCGGCGAGACUCGCUUUUUAUUAUUGAAAAAUUAAUUUUUAGAAAAGUCGGAGUCGCCACUUAUUUUAUUUUAUUUUUUUUAAAGAGAAAAUAAAACAAGAAAUAAAACCCUAAAAAAUGACUCCAUAAUUUUUGGAAAAGCGUGUCUUUGAAAAACCCGAGUCUAAAUCCAGGGAUCAGGUUACUUAUUGGGAAGGUACCUUUAAAAGAUAGCACCCCUCUAAGCCCUAUAAAGGUCUCUAUUGACAAAGUUAAGGAAAGUGUGGCAAUUAAUCAGUUAAUUAUAGAUACAUAAGUAGGCUAGGUGAUUUCAAAGGGUGGCAUGCCAAACACAAUCAAAUUGCAAUAAAGGAGAGUUAGGGUGCGUACCUGAACCACUCUCCAAGCGCUAUCAUAAAACAUAAAAGUUAGUGUAGAAAUGUGGCACACAACAUUUGUUUUAUUCAAGCAAAUCAGGCAUAUAUCAAGACAUCCAAGAAUCACGUCAAAUAUGGAUAUGGUCAUCAAUGGCAUACAAGUCCAUAGAAUUCUAAAAAAAAAGGAUGAAAAUGAGCGUACCUGGAUAGCAAGCUAGAGUGCCUUUAUGGGAAACAAGGUUAGCCCAAUAACAAAUUCAAGCAUAUCUCCAAGAAGAAUCAAAAUCAAUUGAAUACCAAAAAAACAUCUUUAAAAUCAAUAUUAGUGAAGAUAUCAGGAAUGUAGGACCACCCACCAAAGUUCAUAUUACUUUUGCACGUAUUGAUUCAAUGAAUUCCAUUGUUUGGAAUCAUGAAGUUUGUUCAUGCUUGGGAAAAUCAAGAAAAUCAGUUGAAAAUCAAAUAAAAUAGUAAAAAUGCGUGUCGGAAGGAAAAUGGCAGCAAAAGGGUGUUGAAGUCUGGAUUUUAUUGCCUAGAGAAGGUCUAAAGAUGAAUUUUUCAAAGUUGAGAAUGUUUAGUUGAACAAUGGUUCAAAAAUUCAAUUUAAAACAAUAAGUUCCUAAUCAAAGAAGCGAAUAGAGGAGAAGGUGGAACGUCGGUCGAAUGGAAUUGCGACUGUGAGAUAUCCGGAGAGAGUGGGAUGUUGGCCGGAUAGAAUUGCGGCUGUGAGACAUCCGAAUGGAAUGGGAUAUCGGCCGGAUAAAAUGGCGGCUGUGAGACAUCCGGAGAAAAUGGGAUAUCGGCCGGAUAGAAUGGCGGCUAUGAGACAUCAGGAGAAAGUGGGAUAUCGACCGGAUAGAAUUGCGGCUGUGAGACAUCCGGAGAGAGUGGGAUGUUAGCCGGAUAGAAUUGCGGCUAUGAGACAUCCGGAGAGAGUGGGAUGUCGUCCGUAUAGAAUGGCGGCUGUGAGACAUCCGGAGAAAGUGGGAUGUCGGCCGGAUAGAAUUGCGGCUGUGAGACAACCGGGUGGAAUUGGUGAAAAUUUCCGUCCGGAUAGAAUGGCGGCUGUGAGACAUCCGAAGAAAGUGGGAUGUUGGCCGGAUAGAAUUGCGGUUGUGAGACAUCCGGGUGGAAUUGGUGAGAAUUUCCAUCCGAAUAGAAUGGCAGCUGUGAGACAUCCGGAGAUAGUGGGAUGUCGGCCGGAUAAAAUGGCGGCUAUGAGACAUCCGGGUGGAAUGGGAUAUCGGCCGGAUAGAAUGGCGGCUGUGAGACAUCUGGGUGGAGUGGUGAGAAUUUCCGUCCGGGUGGGACAAGCGAUGCCAUAAACUAAGAAUCCUCAGGAACUAUGGUAACCUCUGCAUCUGUUUAACUCCAAGAAAGCCUGUUUUAUACAGCCUUUAUCAAGUUCCCAACUUUCUCGGAAUGCUCAUGGUCUCCAUAUCCGAGAAUACCAAGGUAAAGAAAGGGAAGAAACGUAGAUACAGAAGCACGCAAAAAGACCAAGAAAGAAAAGAAAAGAAAAUAGGGGAAAAGAAGAUAGUCGGUGGGUAUUUUAAAGCCAGAUUGGGGCAUAAAUGGGGGCAAGACCCAUAGCAUCAAAUUCAAAGGUAAACUUAUAUUCAGAUUGCUUUCGGAUGGAACCAAGGACAUUGAAAGGAAUAUUAAAAUAGCAUAAACAUGCACGCAAACCAGUCUCAACUAAUCAAAUUGUGGCCCUUGCGUCCACACCAAACGACAAGAAUGAAUCUUCAGAAAACUAAGAAGUCAGGAAAGAUUGAAACUAAAUGGCGAUAUAGCAAAAAUCUGGAAGCAUACCUGCACGUUCUCCUCUCCAAUCGCUUGGUUCCAGGCUGCUGCACCUUUUCCCGACUGAAAAAUCUGCUCCCCAAAACUUUUCCGUCCACCAAUCUUCUCCCUAUACGUAUUCCAAGUCCCUCUCCUCUAUGUUCCCUUUCAGACGAUCCUCUCAUGCACUUCCCUCUUCUUUCUCCAAUGCGUCCUGCCCUUCUUCUUUUCCUCUUCUCACAUAUAUAUCUUACCCCCCUAAAACCUAAAUCUCCCUAAAAAAAAAGGCAAAUUCUCCUAUUUUCUCCUUAUCCUUUUUAAAAUCUUCCAAUUCAAAAGCAAUCUUCCCAAUUUCAAAUUCCUCUCCAAAACCUUCCAAGGAGAGUCCCACCUUCCUUAAACUCCAAUAGUAAGUUUCCUUGCAAAAACAUGAAAUUUUUGAAGUUAAAUAAUUGAAUGAAUAGAUAAGUAAGUAAAUAAAUUAGGAAACGGUAAAAAAUAAAUAAUAAAUAAAUAAAUAAGUUAAGGAAAAUAAUAUAAAGAGGAAGAUAACCAAUAAAAAGUGAAUGAUAAUCAUAAAACUAAAACUAAAAAAAAUAAAAAUAAAAAUAAAAAUAAACCAAUAAACAAAAGCCGAGCCCAAAAGCUAUGUAACCAUGCAAGUCAUACAAGUCACGCUAAAAAUGUCUGAAUGGGCCAAGUGUGCCUAAACGGGCCUAAGAUGAGACUAAGAUUGGGACAAGGGUGCCUAAAUGGACCUAGGGUGUCUAAAUGGGCCAAGUAGACUACCCUAAAAGCUAUCCUAAAAAUGAAUGAAAAAAAACCUAAGCCUAGAAUAGGGCUACCAAGGGUCACAAUAAGGGGUCAGAUAAUCUCUCAACCAAAGUCUCCGAGGUGACUUAGAAAAAGUUAAGUUGUACGAGUAGUAAUGGGCCAGCAAGGAACUACUGUGGAGCACUGAAAACGAACUUAAAGACAUGUGCUAAAGGGACAAAAUUGAGGGUCUACAGGGAGGGCUCUUUGUCGUUGCAGGGGAGGGUGUUAAACGAAUACUUCCAUCAAAACUCCAGAACCAGAAAGGAUGAAGGAUAAACCUAUAUACAUAGGUACUGAAAUAUUAUAUCUUUCCAGUCUGCUGUCGGGGAUGGGGUGACAGGAUUUGCGCUGGGUGCUGCCGAGGUUGGGAGGGCUUUUCAGCUCACAAUGGAGGAGGUGGGGCGGGGUUCCCAGCACUGGGGGUGCUGCCAGCGGAUGAUGCUCCAAGCAAUAGUGGAGGUACAGUUGUCGGCCGGAUGAUGCUCCAAGUGACAGUGGGUGUACCAGUUGCAUGGGGAAAGGGGAAGGAAAAUGAAUUGUUGGGGUCGGAGGGAACCAGCCUGUUCGCCAGUCGAAUUGUCGAUUCAAACGGCUCAAUUUCGGUUCGAUGGCUUCCCGGUCCAAUUGGUUGGACUAGACUAGAACCGUGACCAAUCGGCGAUCGGACAGGUUGAUUAGAGGUGUUUCUCCCCAAAUAACAAUUCAUUAAACUUAAAAAGAGAUGGAUUAGUUAUCAGCUACAAGAACCAAAGAUCAGUAGAUCCCUACUUGGAUACACAAAAGAACCGAAGGGCUCUUUUCCCCCAUCUUAUUCAUGAGAUGUUAUGCAUUAAUCUUUUGGUUAAGGAGCAUGAAAGCAUGAAAAAUAUGCUUUGAUACACUAAAACCAACAACAUUAAUGUUAUUCUAAGAAACAUAAAUUAUGUCUUCAGUUCAAUUGGGACAUAUUAAUGGAGAAUCUAGUUUCAAAAUAGUCUCAGAAUAUGAAUAUGUCCGCAAAUUAUCCUACUGCACUCACAGAUUUGAACUCUUGGUCUCCCUUGCGGGUGUAUUUGCAAACCGCCACGAGCAACGAAUCAAAUUAUCAGCUACUCUAGCUCCUGCCACCUCUUCUGGUGUCACUCCAGCAGAAAUCUCUUCUAAUUCUUCUUGUGUGAACUUUAAUCUCAAGGAACCGAUAUUGUUAUCAAUAUUUUUAAUCUUGGUCGUUCCUACAUGCAUAUGAAGUAAAGAUCAAUGUUAUGCACUGUAAUUUUCAACUACAAAUAUUCAGCAAUAACUACAUACAAUAUAACAAAGCAAAUUUCUAGUUGAAAUUUAGCAAUUUAAGAAGAAUGGAACAUGGGGUCUAGUUUGUUCUAUCACAUGUAUUUCAUCAAGGGCCAAUCCCAAUCUGUAACUCCUAAAUCAAUUAGCAGCAAACACAUAUGAUGAUGGUAAAUAUUAUGAUAUGUAAGACUGGAAAUUUUUUACGCACCGGGUAUAGGCACCACAUAAUCCCCUUGAUGAAAAAGCCAAGCAAGGGCAAGUUGUGCAGGAGUGCAUCUGUGCUUUUCUGCCAACAUCUCUAUUUUAGCAUAGAGGAGCUUGUUCUUUUCAAAAUUCUCACCUUGAAACCUAGGAUUUGAUCUCUGAUGAUAAAACAAAAGGUUUCUCGUUAGAUCACUGUGAUUAUUCAUGUAAGAAGAAAAGGGGAAGGUAUCAAAAUCACUAGGCCAAACAUAUUCCAUCCCAUACCAGAAAACUGUUUGCAGGCAAAUUUUCCCCUGCAGCCUUGCCACCAAAAAACCCGCGGCCGAGAGGACUGUAUGGAACUAUCCCAAUUCCAAGUUCCCUAUAAAAAUAUAUCCCAAGUGUAACCAAGUCCUCCAUUAAGGAUUAAGGAUCUAAUGCAAGAACUAUAGAAUGUUUUAUGAUAGAAAAUCAAUCGUUAAGGAUAGGAAAUACGAAACCUGCAAAGUGGGAGAAUUUCUUCUUCAAUUUCUCGAGUCCAAAGGGACCACUCCAUUUCUAUGGCAGUAAUGGGAUGAACUGCAUGAGCCCUCCUUAUUGUGUCUGAGCUAGCUUCACAUAGCCCGAUGUACUUAAUCUUUCCCUCUUCAACCAACUUCUUAAGCUCCCCCAUCUACCUUAAUUUCAAAAAAUAUUUUCUUAAAGAAGGUAUUAGUAAAAUAAUUUGAACUUCAAUCAGCAAAAGGAUAACUCCAUUAUGGAAACAGAUUUGAAGAAAAUUAAAAAAUAGAUUAGAAGAACGAAAAUUGUAACACUUAACAGUUUCCUCGAUAGGUAUUGAAGUGUCAAUUCGGUGUUGAUAGUAGAGAUCAAUGUAUCCCACAUCGAGAUGUUUAAGAGUAGCCUCACAACAGGAGCGGACAUACUCAGGGGUACCAUUCACUACCAUAUGAGUAGGUUCAGCUCUAACAAGACCAAAUUUGGUGGCUAACUGGAUCUUUUCUCGAGGUAGCUCCUUCAAUACCUGUAACAUUUUAUUUUGGCACUCAAAAUAAUUUACAAGAAAACCAAAACAAAGUUGAAUUACUUGCUUAAGCAUUAUAAUUUUCAUUCCCUAACCAUCAGAUUCUCAAGCAGCAUUCCGAACUUUUUUCCCUAUUCCAUUACAUAUUGGCUCUGUUCAUUAUAGAGAACUACAUUCAGGAGAUGAUUCAAGAAACAAUCAAGACACCAUUGUGCUUGCAGACACAGAUGUUGAUCAUCAAUGCUGAUAAUGAGUAACGUAUGAUAUAAUUAUCAAAAAUAAAAGAGACUGAUGCCCUACUCUAAAUUUGGUGCCUAGCUUUUCCUGUCCAUCUCGUAUUACAUAGAUUGAUAACAUAAUAGAUUGACAUCAAAAUCAUAAUCAUUAUCAUACAAGCCAGUUCCAAUAGCAUCAUCCGCCUUUAUGAGGUUUUUCUUCAGCACUCAAUCAAAAGCAACCUAAGUUAUAUAACCAACAGAGCAUCCAGUGGUAAAAUACCAGACAGUUAACAUUCAUUUCAGGCCUCAUCUAGAGGUAGAUGAACCAAUUUGAACAACAUCCCUUUCUAGAACCCAGUAGAAUAAUCAUAAAUUAGAUCCUAUUUACAAUUUCUGCAAAUUGUUAAAUCCUAUACUCCUAAUUCUUGCCUGACUUAUGCAACCAAAGAGCCCAACACUAAUGUUCAUUACAACAUAACCAAAUCAGAAAAUCCCUUUUAGGCUACCCAUAAAUUAAAUUGAAUUAGACAGUCCUUGAUGAAACCAAGUGAAAAUGCAGUACCUUUCCAACCAAAAGCUCAGCAUUGGGUCCGUAAAAGUCUGAUGUAUCAAGAAAUGUGAUUCCUUUGCUGAAUGCAUACUUGAUGAUUGAAACAGCGAGUUCUUCAGAGACAGGGUUGUCGUAGACUCCAAACAAUCCUGCACAACCAAAUCCCAGCUUCGAGACCUGUAACACAAAAGAUACUAGAAUGAGUCAGUACAAUGUCUACAACAAUUUGAGCCCGUUUGGACAAAUCCUUCCUGCAUUGAGUUUCUUCUCUAUUUCCGGCUUAAGUGGGGGCUUGCAAUUCAACAAAAGUUACUUCUAUUCUACUCAUUUAUUAUCAAAUCAACCAGUUUCAGCAGGAACCAUGUCUUCAUUCACAACUUACUACCAACCAACCUGCAAUACCUGACUUGAAACAACUUUGUUCUCAUAAUAAGAGCAUAUUUUUGUGAUUCCCGUCAGAUUCUACAAAUUUCAGAAUCUAUAGAAGUUUUGUUUAAAGUUUCUCCGAAUUCCGGAUGCUCAACAUCAGUACAGAAAAGAAAUCAACCCAUAGAUAACCAGUUGAAAAAUGGCCAUAAAUAAAUCAAAUAUCUCAAGUACCAUUGGACUUGUAUACAUGACAAAUGCACAGACACACUUAAAUUACAACCCUCACAUCCUAAUAGCUACUUAUCUAAGAUGAAUCAUGGAGAAUGCAUCAGAGCUUCUUUGAAUCCUUUUUUGAGAAAGUAUUUGGAAGACUUGGCUCCAUUUAGUGACUACUAGCUGAUGCUGAUCAAAUGAAUAUACAAUGGAGGAAAUGAAAUGGGUUGCACCUCAAGUCUCUGAUUUCCCCAGUUUUAAGGAUAUGGAACUUUCAGUAUGAAGAAUUCUAAAAAUCAACAAACAAAACCUAGAUGAUGUAAAUGAAAUGAGCAGAGGUACUGAAGGAAUGAAAAUGGGGUGUACCUCUAGUCCCUGGUUUCCUAGUUUGACUCGUGGAACUUGAAUCUGAACCAUAUGCUCCUCACCCAUUUUUGUCUUCCUUAACCUUAUCUCAGGAUUCAGAAGGGACUUCUCUGUGUAGAGAGGCUAGUACAGCAACUAGAUUAUAUAGAACAUCAGUGGCAUCUGCUCCUCUGUAGUGGAGUUUCACUGAAGAGGAGCAUAGGCUACUUCAAAUUAAAAAUGACCCACGAGUCUUGUUUUCUUCUAUAUUAUACUCUCUCCACCGCCUUAUAUAUGCACUGUAUACACACUUCUAUAUAUUAUUUGACAUUCAAAAAAUAAAAAAAUAAAAAAAUUAAUUAAUUCUCACUGAUAUUUGGGUCGUUUCGACAUUUGAGCCACGUGCCUAAAGCUUAUGCAUUCUAUUAAUAAUUAUUACAAUUAUAUAUUUUAAACCGUCGGAUGCAUCACAGAUAUAGAGUAGCUCACGCAUAGAAAACAUUUUUAGUUUAAAAAAUAUUUUUUUAAAAAAAGUUAGGUAUGUCACAAAAUUUAAAAAAUACUUUCAAAAAUCUAAAAAAUCAUUUAUAAUAUUGAAAAAUCACUUAAAAUGUUUCUUAUAAAAAAAAUACUUGAUAAGUGAUUCUUAUAAAAAUAUUUCUUGAGAAAACACUUUGAUUAAAAAUACUUUGAAUAAAAACACUUUAAGCGUAUUCUAAUUUUUUGUUUUUUUUAGCCUUUUUAGAAAGAAAAUCUUAUUUUAAUACCUUCUCAUUAAUCACAUACUCUUGGUCUAUCAUAUUAGUCAUCAAGUUAUAUGUGGGUGACAUUCAAUAAUUCUUGUGUGAACUCUUUGUUUUUUAAAUAAUAGAAUUGUGCUAUACUUGUAUGGUUUGAAACCGCAUGAGUUUGACCGUGUUUUUAAUAGAAGUAUUUUCUCUGAAAAUAUUUUUAAGAGAAUCACUUAUUAAUGUUUCUUUAGAAAAUGUUAUAAGUGAUUUUUCAUAUUUUUAAAAGUGUUUCUUAAAAUUUGUCAAACAAUUAAUUUUUUUCUCAACAUUACUUUUUAUAUAAAAAUUGUUUUCUAGAAUCACAGUCAAAUGAUUAGGUGAUUAGGUUUUGAGAACAUAUAUAGUUCUUUUAUCUCAAUGAUUAAAUAUAAUAUAAAAUUUUAAAAUUAUAAAUAAUUACUACUAAUGCUGAAAUUUUGUUUUAAAGUGAUGUACUUGCAUCGAUUUAAUUACCUUUAAUAAGUUUAAUUCAAAUAUAAAAAACUAGAAUUGAUAAAGAAAUAUAUAAAACUAAAAAAGGAUAGAUAUUCUUUCAAUAUUUAUAAAUAUAAUAAAAACAAUAUUUUAAAUUGAAAUAAAUUAUGUCUAUUAUAUUAUUGUUUGUUUUCCUUUUAUUACAAAUUUUUGUCUUAAUUUUUCAUCUCAAUAUUUUUUUAUGUGUUAUUUUGCAUUGUCGUUUUCUGUUCUGAUUCAUAAUUUCAGUCAUCUCCUCUGAAGUUGAAUCAAUAAUGCUUUAGUUUGCAUCUCUUUUAGUUGUUUCACUUUCAUUUAAGGAUAACAGCAAGUUUAGGAUCAAACCCAACACCCCUCGUUUACUUCCAAGUGUGGAGUUGUAUAGGAGAUCUUUAGUCAUUUUAUACAAUAACGAAUUUUAGCUAUACAAACAUAGCUAUACAACACCCCUCGUUCUGAUUCACAAUUUCAGUCAUCUUCUCUGAAGUUGAAUCAAUAAUGCUUUAGUUUGCAUCUCUUUUAGUUUUUUCACUUUCAUCUAAGGAUAACAACAAGUUCAGGAUCAAACCCAACACCCCUCGUUUACUUCCAAGUGUGGAAUUGUAUAGGAGAUCUUUAGUCAUUUUAUACAAUAACGAAUUUUAGCUAUACAAACACAGUGUAACAAUGAGAAACCCUCCACCCUGGCCUAAUUCUAUUCUUUGUUCUUUGUUCUCUAAUAAAAUAAUGGUUAUUUAUGAAUGAGAAUACCUAACUAAAUAUUUUCCCUGUUAUCAUGGAAGGGACCUAAAGAUUGCAGAAGCUAGCCCACAAACAUUGUGAUCUCUUCAUUCAAACAUUAAUCAAUACAAAGUAGAGAGGAAAGAAAAUUUAUGCUCACAUGGUUCUCAAACAUUAUUCCUAAGGUAUGAUAUGGGCCAUUGACAAUACUUUGUCAGUGUAUGUUUAAUGCUUGCUGUUUUGCAACUAUAUUUGAAUGGAUAUUGACCCUCUUAUUGACCUGACCCUUGUGGAUCUAGGUGCCUCCUAAUGACAUUUUGAAGGUAUUGUUAGUGUUAGGUGCAAGAUAUGUUGUUUUUGUUAAAAAAGUAAAAUUGAUCUUUGUAUAAUGCUUGAAUAAAAUGCUUAUUUAUAUGCAUAAGUUAAAAAAUGGACUAAUAUUUUUCUUUAAGCUAUCAUGUAUCAUCCCAUAUAUUUUCUUAGGAUAUGUAGUUAAAUGUUCUAAAACAAUAAGACAAGAUACUUAGGUUCCACUUUUGAUUGUGUUUGGCUUUCCGACCAUUCCACUAUACCCACUUGAAACUUCCAUAGGAAUUGAAGAUAAGCGGAGACCCUAAAAUGUAGUUUUAGUAUUUGUUUUACAUGGACCUUUAGAUGUAAAAAAUUUUACUUAUGUCAUUCUGCUAAACAAGGCGAUGGGUGAAUUUUGGCUACAAAGUGAAGCCAUAUUAGGUGUAUUGCUUGCUUUGAGUGUACUUUGUACAAGGAAUAGAAGGGUUGAAGUUGUUGAGAGCAAAUAUGAUAGAUUAUUGGUUAUUUCCUAACUUUUUCAAGGUAGAAUAAGGCAAAUUUAAUUCUUUGAAUUUUCUUGAAGUUUUCAAGAAAUUUUAAGUCUUCAAGGAAAAUUUUCAAAAGCUCUCCAAAGUUUCUUUGAUAUUUUUUUUUUAUGUGCUUUGAACUAAAAAGAACCCUCUAUUUAUAGAAUUAACAUUAAAGGAAAAAAAAAAUACUUUGUAUUUUGAUCGUGUAAUUCGUGUAUAACAAUGAUUAGGAGUGAUUGUAAGUAUAAUUUCUUGUAUUUAUGGCUUGGAGUAAUUAUAAGAAUUCUUGUUGUAAUUAACAAUGAAUCAUAAAACAUGUACCUAGAAUAGUUUUUUUCUCACUAUGUAUAAAACUUAUGUGAAUCAUUCUUAACUAUGUAUAAAACUUAUGUGACUCAUUCUUAACUAUAUACAAUGAGUAUGUGACUGAUUCUUAACUAUAUACAAUGAGAAAUUCUUCAUAUUUGUCUCUCUUUCUAACUAUUUUUCACAUGAUAUCAAAGAACUUGAUAUUGGUGACCCAAAAUCAAAACACCUUGCUCCACAAACACAACAUCUAGAGGUAUGAGUUUAUGGGGUGUGAGUGCUAGUUGGAAGUAAAAAAAAUUGGUUUUUAAAUUUGAGAAAGAAAUGGUACCUAGAUAUUGGAAAAUUAAAGGAAAACGAAAUUCAAACGUAAAAACUGACUUAAAUUCCUUUUCUCAGGCUCAACUCAUCAACAAGGCUCUAAAAGGGUUUGCGACUUUAGGACUAGGCCAAGGGUUUACACCAAAAGGGUUCUAGUUGACAUGGGCAUUAAUUGCCUCAACAAAAGAUUAAGUCAAUCUAAUUGCUCAUUUUUUAGUCUUUGCAAUCAAAUAAUUUAAGUGGAUUCCUCAUGUCAAAAGGCUUGUGUUUGGUUUAUGAGACCUAUUGCGGUGAAACAUAGGUAUGAGGCCAAGGUUGCUUGACUUGUGGACUUCAAACUCAAAGCAUCAUAGCCUUUUCUCCCCAUGAUUAUUUCUUUUCAUCAUUGCAACCAAUAACCUAAAUUAGCUCCCUUUCAACCAUUCAUAACUAAACCAAUGGUGAAUUGAAUUAAAAUAUUAGGAUUUCAGUUUCUUUCACCCCUUAGAGUAGAAAACACAUAACUAAAAUGGAAACACAGAAUAAAAAAUUCAAACAUAAAACUAAAAAGAAAGAUUUAUUAAAUUAAAUUAAAACAGAUUACAAAAAUAAAAAGAAAUACAAGAAUGCAACUAGUCUACUCCUAUUUCUAAUAACAAUUUAACUUAUUUCUCUAUUAUCUCCAUCUACUUGUUUAUUUAUAGUUCUUGUAUUUACAAGCAAAAAUUUCCCUCAUUCCCUACUACUCCAAAGUUGUCCCUAUUUAGUUGUGCAUCCUGUCUAUGUUGGUGAUCUAAGUGUGUUAAUGCAACCAUUUGUCAUGAGAUGUCGACAAACUUUAAGGGCACUAAUUGUUGUGUAGCCUUGACGAGUGCACAAUGAUCAAAAGAUGUUGCACGAGUGUAAAGUGGGACAAUCAAGGCAAUGCAUUAAGGUAGAAAGUUAUUUGGGGUGCGCUUCAUUGAUGGAGGAAAGAAAGAGUGCACUUAAGAAGUGUGUAAUCUGAGUAGAGUCCUUUAAUGUACUAUAUGAAGUGCCAAGUGUUGAUCAAAUCCUUAAGCGCACAAUCCAAACAAUCCAAACUAUCACUUAAAAGUGCAGAAAUCUCAAGUGCACUUCUCUAAGUGUGCAAUUUGGAUUGAUGCUCCCAAGGUGUGCUAUCUACAAUGGUCUUUACCUAGUGCACUAUUAGGGGUUAUGCUCAAAAUGAAGUGUGCUAUAAGUGAUAGUGUUCCCCACUUAGGUACUCCCAUUUUCGUCAAUGAUGAAGAUGAGCCAAACAUGCCUUAAUUAUGCAAAAAUCUUACAAACACAUCAAAACAAAAUUUGUAAGGCAUUAACAACAAAUUGAAAAAUUGAACUUGUUAUGAGUGCCUUAAACAAAUUUUUGUCUUAAUUUUUCAUCUUAAUAUUUUUUGAUGCGUUAUUUUGCCAUGUUGUUUUCCAUUCUGAUUCACAAUUUCAAUCAUCUCCUUUGAAUUUGAAUCAACAAUGCUUCAGUCUGCAUCUUUCUUGGUCAUUUCACUUUCAUCUAGGAUAGCAGUAGGUUUAGGAUCAAACCCAACACCCCUCAUUUACUUCCAAGUGUGGAAUUGUAUAGGAGAUCUUUAGUCAUUUUAUACAAUAAUGAAUUUUAGCUAUACAAACACAGUGUAGCAAUGGGGAACCCACCACCCUGGCCUAGUUCUAUUCUUUGUUCUUUGUUCUUUGUUCUCUAAUAAAAUAACAGUUAUUUAUGAAUGAGAAUACCUAACUAAAUAUUUUCCUUGUUAUCAUGGAAGGGACCUAAAGAUUGCAGAAGCUAGCCCACAAACAUUGUGAUCUCUUCAUUCAAACAUUAAUCAACACAAAGUAGAAAGGAAAGAAAAUUUAUGCUCACAUGGUUCUCAGACAUUAUUCCUAAGGUAUGAUUUAGGCCAUUGACAAUACUUUGUCAGUGUAUGUUUAAUGCUUGCUGUUUUGCAACUAUAUUUGAAUGGAUAUUUUUAGAUGACCCUUUUAUUGAUCUGACCCUUGUGGAUCUAGGUGCCUACGAAUGACAUUUUUGAAGGUAUUGUUAGUGUUAGGUGCAAGAUAUGUUGUUUUUGUUAAAAAUGUAAAAUUCAUCUUUGUAUAAUGCUUGAAUAAAAUGCUUACUUAUAUGCACAAGUUCAAAAAUGGACUAAUAUUUUUCUUUAAGCUAUCACUUAUCAUCCCAUAUAUUUUCUUAGGAUAUGUAGUUAGAUGUUCUGAAACAAUAAGGCAACAUACUUAGGUUCCACUUUUGAUUGUGUGUUUGGCUUUCCGACCAUUCCACUAUACCCACUUGAAACUUCCACUGGAAUUGAAGAUGACCAGAGACCCUGAUAAUGUAGUUUUAGUAUUUUUUUAUAAGGACCUUUAGAUGUAAAAAAUUUUACUUAUGCCAUUCUACUAAACAAGGUGGUGGGUGAAUUUUGGCUACAAAGUGAAGCCAUAUUAGGUGUAUUGCUUGCUUUGAGUAUACUUUGUACAAGGAAUAGAAGGGUUGAAGUUGUUGACAGCAAAUAUGCUAGAUUAUUGAUGAUUUCUUGACUUUUUCAAGGUAGAAUGAGGCAAAUUUAAUUCACAUUUCGAAUUGAAUUAAUCUCUUGUGAGGAUUUGCACAACUAGUCACUAACUAAUCAAAUGUGAAAUGGUAUAAGAAUACCACCUCUAUAGAUGAAUAGAUUGUGUGGAUAAUCCUAUCAAAUAUAUUUGUCUUCUCUGCUUCAAAGGAUCUCCAUUGAAGAAGUGCUUUGUACACAAUACAAGCAAAUUGCUUGUCUUCCAUGAGACACUUUUUUAGUACAUCAUGGUUUUCUUGGUAAUUAGGAACCAAAAAAAAAAAUUGUACUUGACAAUUUUUAGACAUUUCAAACAAACAGUAUCUUAUUGGACUAACUCAAUUUGUUGUGUUGAUAUUAUGCCUCUACAUGCCAUAAGGACUAAUGAACAUGCUUCAUUGUAUGGUUAUGAUAUAUAAACUCUCUGAUAAUUGGUAAAGCUUGUUCAAUUGCAAUCCUUGUUGCUUCUUUCUCUUUGAUAAUUGUUGUAUAGGCUUUUUAUAGUUAUACUUGCAUUUCAUGUAGAACAUUUUGCAACUUGGAAAUUUCUUGUCCUUUUGCUUCUUUAGCAUCAAUCUAUAUGAAAAAUAUUGUCUUUUCCUAACAAAUUUUAGUGAGCCACAUUCACCUAAUUACAAACCCAACUUGAGGGUUUGUUUUUUAUUUAUUCUAUUUUUUUCCUUAUUUUUAUUUCAAAAUUUUAAAUAAAUUUAAAGAGCUUGUCUUGAUUGAUAUGGAAUUCAUAACAAACUAGUUUAAACUUUGCUGUAAGUUUAGUGUGAUUCAUACUUCAAUGAAACUUCUUCACGUUCCGGUGGAAUUUUGAACAAACUUUGGGUUAGAGGCUUGUGGGUAGGAGAGAGCAUGGGAUAGGGUAGAUGCUCAAAAUGUAUUAUAAUUAAUAGCUAGGAGAUGUGCUUGCCUAUCUUGGUUUGACCGCGGGUCAUAUAUUUUCAACCUAAAUGAGGGUCUAAAAGAGCAAAAAAAGAAAAAAAGAAAAAGAAUUUAACAUUGACUAAAUAUAACAUAUAUCAAAGUUAUAUUAAUUUAUGUUGUAAAAAUAUGUACUAAUGAAUCAUCAAUCAGAUAUUUGGAUAGGCCUAGGAAUCUUGGCCUUACCUAAUCAGCUUAACAAGGUCACAAAAUGCAACCUUGACAUCCCAAUUGGACACCCAUGUGGUAAGGAUGUGGAUAAACUUAAAUACUCUUGUGCACAUAAAUUUUAUCAAAUAAAGAGAUUAUGUGUAAAAUUAUAAAUUUGAUAAUUUGAGGGGACAAUAUUCAUUAUCCCCUAAUUCUUCUUACAAAGAUAGAAACGCCCUUUUAAACAAUUUUGUACUUAAUUUAGAUCAAAAGAGGUUUCAAACAAUAAAUCAUGAAUUCUUCCAAUAAAAAGAAAUCUUGAAGUCUAAAUUUCUUUAAGAAAUUUUCAAAUAUUCUUUUAUUCUUUAAGAAAUCUUUGAAUUUUCUUGAAGUUUUCAAGAAAUUUUAAGUCUUCAAGGAAAAUUUUCAAGAGCUCUCCAAAGUUUCUUUGAAUUUUUUUUAUUUUUUUUUUAUGUGCUUUGAAUUAAGAGGAACCCUCUAUUUGUAGAAUUAAUAUUAAAGGAAAAAAAAAAACUACUUUGACUUUUGAUCGUAUAAUUUGUGUACAACAAUGAUUAGGAGUGAUUGUAGGUAUAAUUUCUUGUAUUUAUGGCUUGGAAUAAUUAUAAGGAUUCUUGUUGUAAUUAGAAAUUAAUCAUAGAACAUAUACCUAGAAUAGUUUUUUCUCUCUAUGUAUAAAACUUAUGUGACUGAUUCUUAACUGUAUACAAUGAGAAAUUCUUCAUAUUUGUCUCUCUUUCUUACUAUUUUUCACAUGAUAUCAAAGAACUCGAUAUUGGUGGCCCAAAAUCAAAACACCUUGCUCCACAAACACAACAUCAUGAGUGAAAUAAAGACCAUAGAGACAUCAAUUGAUGUUCUUGAAUCCCUUGUUUUGCACCAUUCAAAUCAUUUAAGGAUGAUUCUAAUCACUAAACCACUUUAAGGAUACAACUAUGGGCGAUAAAGUUGUGUUAUGCAUAUCAGUCUUGGUGUAAAAAACAAGAUUGGAUUUGUAAAUGGAUCCAUUAAGGCUCUAGCAUUUGCAAAUCCAAAAUUCCACAAAUGGCAACAAUAUAAUGAUAUGGUCUUGUCAUGGAUUCUAAACGUAAUUCAUCUUGAAACGAAAACAAUAGAGACAUCAAUUGAUGUUUCUAAAACACCAUGUUUUGUACCACUCAAAUCAUCCGGGGAUGGUUUUAAACUUUAAACCACUUCAAGGAUACAACUAUUAGGUGACGGAAUUGUGCUAUGCACAUUAGUCUUAGCACAAAAAACAAGAUUGGAUUUGCAAAUGGAUCUAUUAAGGCUCUAGCAUCCACAAAUUCGAAAUUCCAUAUAUGGCAAUGAUACAAUGAUAUGGUCUUGUCAUGGAUCUUAAAUGCAAUUCAUCCUGACAUGAAAACUAUAAAGACAUCAAUUGAUGUUUCAGAACCCCUUAUUUUGGACCACUCAGAUCAUUCGAGGAUGGUUAUAAUCUUUAAGCCACUUUAAUGAUACAACUAUGAGCGAUGGAGUUGUGCUAUGCAUAUCAAUCUUAGCACAAAAAACAAGAUUAGAUUUGUAAAUGAAUCCAUUAAGGCUCUAGCAUCUACAAAUCCAAAAUUCCAUAUAUGGUAACGAUACAAUGAUAUGUUCUUGUCAUAGAUAAUAAACACAAUUCAUCUUGCUAUAGCAAAGUACUGUCAUCUAUGCUUCAACAAUAGCCAAAGUUUUGGAAGAUCUCAAAGAGAGGUUUUCAUAAGAAGACAAUUCUAAAAUUUUUCAAAUUUGACAAGAAAUGACAAUCAUCGAUAAUGACAGCAAUCUGUCCUUAUUUACUACAUUAAAAUGACUCUUUAGGAUGAAUUGGCUUCAUACCAUAAGCCUCUAUGCUACAAUUGUAGAGGAUUGAAAGCCCUUGCUAAAUGAGAAGAAAAUGAAAGAGUUAUAUAACUUCUUAUUGGACUAAAUGAAUCAUAUGCAACCAUCCCUGAAUCAAUCUUGGUGAUGAGACCUUUACAAGAUACUCGCAAGAUUCAUGCUCUUAUGCUCCAACAAGAACAAUAGACUGAUAUAACUAUCAAAUGUGAAACAAAUGUUGACCACCAUGCAAUGUAAUCCUCUCAUGUAUUCCAAAUGAAUUGACUUCCCAUGGCACAAGAAAAUGGGACUUCGAGAAGGUAACUUAAGUGUAGCCAUUGUGACUAAGAUGACCGCUUAAUUAACAAUCGUUUCUAUUUGCAGGGAUUCCUAGUAGACGACAAAUUGUAUGGAAAUAAAGUGAAGCUAAUAGGGAAGAGGCUUCCUAUUCACAAUAUUCAAACCAACACCAUUAAACCACCUAGAGGACCAACUAUGGAAAUGACAACAUUCACCACCGAGAAAUAUAAUCAACUCAUGGCCUUACUUCGUAAAGAAAAUGGUAAUGAUUAGGUCUUUACAAAUGUUAAGUUGCACUUACACCCACUUGUAAUACUACUCAACAUGAUCUAUUUUCAACAUUAUAUUGGACUUGGAUGACAAUGAGAUAGAUCAUAUAUCCAAAUCCCCACCAACACAUGGUAAAUUAAACACUUAUAUUGGUUUUUUUUUAUUUACCUGACAAUGGAAAAACGAAGAUUAAGUCAACAUGAUCUAUCAAACUAUUUUCUGAUUUGAUUCUUGAUAAGAUAUUACAUGUUCCAAAAUUUUGAGUUGACUUGUUAUCAAUUAGCAAACUUACUGAAGCAUUGAGAUAUAAUUUAAUAUUUUAUCCUAAUUUUUAUGUGGUAUAGGACAUGAUUACAAAGAAGACAAUUGGCCUAGUUAAGCAAUAUAAUGGGUUGUACUAUCUCAAACCUAGCUAGAAUUCACACCUUGUACACAAUGUUAAUUGCACCUCUAAGGCAUCUUUCAUCCGCUCCUCUUCAAAAAUUAUCAAAGAACAUUCCAAAAAUGCUUUUUGAUUCUCAACAUGUUUGUGGUAUUUGUCCCUUUGCCAAACAAGUGUGUUUAUCUUUUUCUUAUUGUUCUAUUUCACCAGUUGAACUUUUUGAUUUAAUUCAUCAUGAUAUUUGAGGACUUCACAGAGUUAAUUCUCAUAUUGGAGCAAGAUAUUUCUUACCAUUGUAGAUGGUUCUUCUAAUUUUACAUGGAUUCAUCUUAUGAGUUCUAAAUUUGAGACACAAUCUUAGUUGAAAUAUUUUUUUUUUCUUGGGUUAAAACUCAAUCUACUGUGAGAUUAAAUUCAUUAUGACAAUAGGAAUGAACUCACAUCCAUGCGUUCAUUUUUUUAAUGAUUAUAACACAUUUUUUCAGCAUUCUUGUACUAGCACACCUCAAAAAAAUGGGGUAGUGAAGUGAAAACACCAUCAUCUCUGGAAUGUUGUCAUGCACUUCGAUUUCAACUUCAAGCGAAAACACUCCAUUAAUGUUGAAGUCCACCCACUCUUCUCUAUUCAACAACUAUAGUGGCCUUUUUCCUUUAAAUAAAUAGUAAGAUAAUAUUUAUAUGAGAGGAUAAAAUUAUAAGACUUAUAUGUGAGGAUAAUAUUUCACUAUCAAGCCACAGGCAGGGUCAAAACCAGCGUGACCAAAUUUGGUGGCCAAAUGGAUCUUUUCUUGAGGUAACUCCUUUAAUGCCUUCAAGAUCCGAUAUCUAUUAAAAUUACAAACUACUUUUAUGGAAGAAAUCAAAAGAAUUGAUAACAAAACCACACAAUGAUCUGUUCAACAUUUUGAUAACAGAAAUAGCAGUAGUUACUUGAUUGUGUAUCAGAGUAUUUAAUACAUAGUUGAAAUCACUUGCCUAAGCAUGAUAAUUUUCAAUCUCUAUUUUAUGAUUCUGGAAGUGAAAUUUAUUUAUUUAUUCAUUGUCUAUUUAUUUAUUUUGUGGCUUCCUGUUUCUGUUCUUGCUCCAAGAAAGCAUGUUGGAGAACAAAUAAUAUUCAACAUCAAGUUGUUGUUACCCAAAAUUAUAUAUAUAUAUUUUUUUUCUUGAUAGGAAACGACAUAAGAAUAUAUUGAUAAAAAGAAGGAACAAUUAGAAGGAUGAGGAAUCCUCCCAACAAAGAAAAACAAGACUACAAGUAAUCAAAUAUAAGAAAGUACAAAAAGAGAAAAGUAGACACUCUAGUUACACGCCGCUAACCAAUCGAGUUGUAAUAUGUUAAGAGGAAUCCCCUUAAAAACCUUAGAACAAAAAGCCCAAAAAGAGGUAAGAAAACAAAUAGAAUCCCAAAGAUGCUCAGAAUUCCUUGCUUUGUCCUAAAAAAUCCUUGCAUUUCUUUCCCGCCACACCACCCACAUUAACGCGAUGCACGCGUUUUGCCAUAAAACAAUCCCUCUCUUGGAAGAUCCAAAACCAUUAAAAUUACUAGAUAACAUGUCAGAGAUGCUCCUUGGGGAAACCCAAUCCAUCUUUGCUGAUUGAAAUAAUCUGUGCCACAACCCUAUCGUCAAAGAGCAAUGUAGGAAAAGGUGAUCUACUGUUUCUCCAUGCUUCAUGCACAACUUACAUAUGUCAAGGCUAAGUGCUUUGUAGGGUCUUCUCAAUUGUAGCAAGUCAUUAGUAUUAACCUUCUUAUGAGCCACCAACCAGACAAAGGACUUGACUUUGAAAGGGACUUGAGCAUUCCAGACAAACUUGGUAGGGAAAACUGGAGGCGACUCAGAAUAUUGGGAUAAGGCUAGAAAGAAAGAUUUGACUGUGAAAAGACCUGAAGGACAUAAGGACCAAGAUCUCUUAUCUAGAAACGAAGGUGAUAUGUGUAGAUGAUCAAAAGACCGCAUAAGGCCCUCUAAAUCUUUUAUCUCAGAAUUAGAAAGAUUUCGGCGAAAAUUGAAAUUCCAAGAGAAGGGGCGGGUAUAUCCAAGAAUUGAUGAAAUAGGAGCAUUUUUAUCUGUGACUACGCUAAGUAAUCUUGGAUAUUAGACACCCAAAGGUUGUUCCCCUCAACACAAGUCAUCCCAGAACCGAAUUCUAUCCCCAUUACCUACCACAAACCGAGUAAACUUGGAAAACUCUUGGUAGACUAGUGCAAUGGCCUUCCAAGGACAACGAUGAGACCAUCUAACUAUGUUGUUGACAUCCCAGCCAUUGGAGUGUGAUCCAUAAAUGCUUAAAAUAACCUGAUGCCACAGAGCUGAACACUCCCUAGGAUAUCUCCACAACCACUUCCCUAAAAGAGCGACAUUCCUUAUAAAUAUUUUUCCAAAACCCAAUUCCCCUCUCGAUUUCGGCUUACACACUACGUCCCAAUUAACCAAAUGGUCUCUUUUGCCUUCCCCUACGCCUGACCAUAAAAAAUUUCUUUGCAUUCUCUCAAUUUUUGCUGCCACAGAGGCGGGAAUCUUAAACAAGGAAAGAAAGUAACAUGGCAUAUGGGUGAGACAAGAUUGAAUGAGGGUUAUUCUGCAUCCAAAAGAUAAAUAUGCCUUCUGCCACCCAUCUAAUCUCCUUGAUAUCCUCUCAAUCACAGGAUCCCAAAAGCCACUCGCCUUAGGAUUCCCUCCCAGAGGAAGACCCAGGUAAAGUAUAGGCCACCCAGAAGCCUUGCAGUCAAGCAUCUCGGCCAACCUAGAAAGGUGAUUCUGCUCAAGAUUAAUACCAUAGAUAUUGCUUUUGUCAAGAUUAACUUUCAAAUCGGAAAUAUGCCCAAACACUAGCAAGACAUUCUUAAGGGUCAUCAUAUCCUCCUCCCGAGAGCUGGAAAAGAAAAUGGUAUCAUCUGCAAAUUGUAAGUGGGAAACCCUUGUUCUGUUCCUACCCACCCUGAAACCCUCCAAGACGUUUCUCUCCUCAGCUUUCAAUAACAUCCUACUCAAUACAUCUGCCACUAUAGUGAACAAGAACGGUGAUAAAGGGUCUCCUUGUCUUAAACCUCUAGAUGCCUUAACCCACCCUUUCGCAUUAUCGUUCACCAGGACUGCAAAAGAAACCGAGGACAAGCAACCUCUCAUCCAUUUCCUCCAUCUAAGACCAAACCCUUUCAUCUCCAACACAUGAUCCAAAAAAUCCUAACUCACAUGAUCAUAGGCCUUUUCAAAGUCAAUUUUGAAUACAACUCCUUCCUCCCCUGAUCUUCUUUUCUCAUCCACUAUCUCAUUGGCUAUGAGAACUGCAUCCAAAAUUUGUCUCCCUUGAACGAAGGCUCCUUGAGUAGAAUGGAUGGUCUCGUGAAGUACCCCUCUUAUGCGCCCUGCUAACACUUUGGCUAUUAUCUUGUAAAGACUAGUGAUCAAGCUAAUAGGUCUAAAGUCUGAGAUUCUCCUUGACAUGUUUUUUUUGGGUAACAGAACUAUAAAGGAAGCAUUGGUGCUUUGAUUAAUAAUUCCGCUCCUAUGAAAUUCUGCAAACACUUUCACUAGAUCCUCCUUUAUCACUUCCCAACAAUCUUGAAACACUGCAAUGGUAAAGCCAUCUGGCCCCGGAGCCUUAUCCCUGUCCAUCUGAAAAAUAGCCUUAAAAAUCUCUUCUUCAGUAAAGGGGGAUUCCAACCUAAACGCACUCUCACCAGAUAUAGGGGACCAAUCUAAGCCUUCCACUCUCCAAGGCUCUCCAGAAGGACUCGUGUAGAGCUUUUCGAAAUACCUUAAAAUCUCCUCUUUUAUGCUCUCUGAAUUAUUCAUCAUUAGGCCAUUUUCAUUCUCCAACUCCUUAAUAAAUUUCCUAUUUCGCCUGCCAUUGGCCACCUUAUGAAAAAAUUUUGAGUUACAAUCCCCUUCUUUUACCCAUUUCACCCUAGCUUUUUGUCUCUAAUGUAUUUCUUCCCUCAAAAUCAACUCCUCUAGCUCCCCUUUUCUUAAAGCUCUUUGGGCUAAAAGUUCAUGGGAUAGGCCCCCUUCUUGCUCCAAGGAAUCAAAGUUAACUAAAUCAGAUAAGAUAUCUUUUUUCCUUUUACUUAGCUCUCCAAAAGAAGCCUUAUUCCACUCUUUCAAUUUGGCUUUAACGAACUGUAAUUUCCUCAUGAACUUGUGCCCUUCCCACCCAUUUCCUUGAAACUCCCUCCACCAUCUUCCAAAACUCUCCUUAAAACUAGGAUGUUGCAACCACAUAUUUUCAAACCUGAACGGCGUUGGACCCCACUUGAACGGAUUAGUUUCCAAGACAAUCGGCCAAUGAUCCGAUGUCCAUCUUGGCAGUACUCCUUGAAUACUUUGAGGAUAUGCUUGUUCCCACUCAUUUGAGUACAGGAAACGAUCUAAUCUCUUGCAAACUGGAUUCUCUUGCAUGUUUGACCAAGUAAAUGAUGCACUCCUUAAAGGUAAAUCUAUCAAUUCGCAAUCUCUUAUGAAAUCAUCAAAAUCCUUCAUGCUUGGGGUUAAUCUAGAACCGCCCAAUUUUUCUGAACUUCUCCUUAUGACAUUAAAGUCAUCGCCCACACACCAACGCGGAUAAGCAAGCCCAAUAAUGUCUGAAAGCUCCACCCAAAAAUCCUUCCUGAGAGCUGAGUUGUUUGGGCCAUAAACUGCAGAUAGCCACAAAGAUUCGCAACCGUCCAAUGCGAACUUGAUUGAGACCGAAACAGAACCUAACACUACCUCCUCCCUGCACAAUUUUUUAGCGUCCCAUAUGAUCAAAAUCCCACCUGAAGCCCCACAUGCCAGAAGGGCUGCCCAAUCCUUAUUUCUUGCUGUCCAAACACUACCCACGAAUCUUCUAUCACACUCCUCUUUUUUUGUUUCCUGAAUCAUCACUACAUCCGGCUUUUCUGAUCUCAGAAAAUCCUUAACCACCCUUCUCUUUUUCUUUGAACCCAAACCCCUGGUAUUCCAACUGAUUAUCUUCAUGUGAAACUCUGUGACCCUAAUCUCCGAACCAAAACCAAUUAGUCUCACAAUCCUGUGGAGCAUCUACUCUUCCUCCUGGAAUAUACCUUGAUAUCCAGAGUCUUUAAAACCUCACGUACUUUUGCCAUUUUCCUAGGGGACGGUCCUUCUAUUUGGAACUCGCCCGAAGGAGAGCCCGCAAUACCUCCCAAGUUAACUGUAACCUUACUGGACUCCUUGAAAGGUGAUCUUAAAUUAGCUGAGAGAGAAUUGACACUCUCAGACAUCUGGUAAGGACAAGCAGGCUGGAUCACCUCCGUUUCCAUUUCUAAAUUAGGGAUAUCAACAGGAAUUUGACCUUCAUCGUUGACUUUUUUGAAAAAAAAUUCAGAGUUUACUCGGUUUUCCAUGGGUGCCAGAGAUUGAGAAGAUGAGUCGGGAAACAUGGGGUUAGAGGGACUCAGAAUGUGGACGGGAGGAUUCAAGAGGGAUUUAGUGAAGCCACUAGAAGGGGGUAUAUAUGGAUGGGUGGAAUUAAAAAGUGAAGGCGUUACCUCCAGAAUUUCCGCAACCAUCGAAUCACAGUUCCCCAUCAAGCUAGGCCAUUUACCUCUAGUUUCUGGCGAAGAAGGCUUAACCAUGACUACUGAGUCACGAGAAUCAAACCCCACUUGGCCCAAAAAACCUUUCAUAUCUUCGUUGGAUGAAAAAAUGUUCAGAUCCGCUUCCUUUCUCGGCAACGAGUCCCUUUCCCCUAAACUCUUCUUGCGAAGCCUUGGAAAACACGGAGAAAAGAGAGGGCUUGCAUUUAAUCCUCUGUUCGCCUGAGAUUCGGCGCCUAAAUCGUCUGUCUUUGGGUCCUCUUCGCUGUCCACCUUGAUUUUUCCGCGCGAAAUGGGCUCGCUACUGCACCGGAUACCUUGUCGGUGCUCUGAGCUUGGGGGAAAGAAGGUUGACCACAGCUUCCUUGAACCGUACAACAGCUUCUUCUCCGCUAACCUGCUCGACUGAAACUCGAGGAGUCUAGGAGAUGAUUUCCCCUUUUCAAUUGCAGAAGAUGAGUCUUCUUCUUCCUUGCGUGACGACGCCACAGUCACAACUGGGGUAACCUCUUCUGGGCUUAGGCCUAAGCCCAACGGGCCUUUAAUCUUGCAGCCCAUUACAGCUGUACUUGGAUCAGUCUUUGCCAAUGACUGGGCCUUCCUCUCGCGGGCCCGACAGCCCACAUUGGCAAUAGCCUCAUCUUCUCCGGCCCAAUCUCCUCCUGCUUUUCCAAUCCCGUCCAUGCCAUCUGUUGAUUUCAAACGAGACUGCGACGGGAGCUGGCAGCCCUUACCCCUUUCUCCCUCCUUCCUAUGUCUGUUAUCUUCCCCGACACGGUACCUUCCCUCCGUCGUUGAUCUGCCGCACUCCCCUCGUCUUCCUCCACCUGUCCCCGUGUGAGAAGCGACAGCCACCCGAGUUGACUCACCCUUUUCGCUACCUCUCCGUCUUUCUUCGUCUCCGACCACUACGACGACGACUGUGAACACCCAAUCCCCAUCAGUCACCUCUAACAUAGCUAGAAGGAUUGCCCUAUCCUUCAUUACGAUCUUUAACCUCGCCCUGCUGAGAUCGAAUAACUUUAGCGUACGCCAAUCGAUUUCAUUUACAGACCCCCAUUGCUCCACAAUCUUCUUCAGGUGAACCUUCGACCAUAGGUGAAAUGGCAACCCCCUUCAUUCGAUCCAUCCUUCUCUAAAUUUCCCAUCUAUUUCCGCAUUUUCCUUCGGCGACCAUCUUCGCAACUGAAUAAUGCUCCUUUCCCCAACCCUUAACUUCCUCAAAUCAUGGAGAAAUAUUGGCUUCCUCGGUUGUUUCAACGAAAAAUACACCCUUUCCAGCUGAAAUGGGUACGAUCGUUACAACGCCAUUCUUCCCUAAGCUUCUUGCCACCAAUUUUCCAACCUCAGCCCAAUUCUCCCUGUCAAACUUGCUUUCACAUACCACAGCUCGCGCCCACCUCCCCACUGGAACUAGACCACCUCCUCGUGGUCCUUCGUCACUAACUAUCUUCGCAUAGGAUCUGUGCAUCGAGUCCACUUUGUUGUGAGGCCAGCUUUUCCCUCUUAUAUUCCUUCCUUUUUCUACUGCAUUCGGAUAGGGGACCACCAGCAUUGUAGCUAACGCUUUUUUGAUACUCUCCCAACCUCUGCCCUUGUCGCCCUUAGGAAUGAUCAGAACGGAAGGUUUUCUGUUGGUAGCAAACUCCGAGAUCCUUAUGAACCUUCCAUGGUUGUUGAAGACAACUUCCAACAGAUGAGCCCUGCAUUUUCCCCUGAAUUUUUUGUUGAAACCCAUAUGACUCUUCAAUGCUAAGGCUUUCGUCAAGUAUUCAACCAACCACCCAAUUGCUUCCUUUUCAAAACCUAAUGCAAAAACAGAGCCUCUACUUAUCUCUGUCAUCGAACACCAUUCACCUCCUUGCUCGCCUUCCAACCUAAUCAAGAAGGUCUUCCUCUCAAUCAAGACCUUCACCGUCUUCCUCUCAACCAUUCUCAUGCUCUUAGAACUAAUUAUCGUUUAUGUUUGACACAUUCUAAAUCCCUCUCACACGCAGGAAUCCAAUUUACAGGAGCUCUCUCCUCAGCAACUAAUCCACUGUAGGUUGCUAAAUUUUUCUCUAGCCUUUGUUACCCAAAACUAUGAAUUGCAAAUUUUUGUAUCAGAUCUGUGAAUUCUACUUCCAAAUAGUAAAUCACGAGAAAGAGCUACAAUAACCUUAACACAUGCUAUAAUUCAUGUUUUAUGGAUAUAUAUAGGCAUGCGAAAACAUUAAGGCUAUAUUUGGUUCCCAUAAAAUCUAAGAAACUUGCAAGGGCAAGAAAAUUUAAAAGAAAAGUAGAAGGAAAAAUAAAAAUGAAAAAAAAUCAAUAAAUUAUUUUUAUUUGUUACUUAAAACUAAUUUCACUUAUUUUAACUCAUCCAUAUAAAGAUCAAAUAAUUUAAAAAUACAUAAGUUUAAUUUUAAUUAUAUUAAAUUUUCUUUACUAUUUUCCAUGGGACAAUCAAACAUGAGAAAAUCAUUUUCCUUAACAUUUUUUUUUCUUUCCUUAAUACCUUUUAGGAGCCAGCACAACCUAAAGUAUUGAAUGAUUAUAUCAUGCAAACAAAACCAAUAAGUAUAAAGACAUGAAUAUCAUAGAGAAUGCUCAAGGACAUAUUUUCUUUCUUUCAAAAAUGAUCUCCAUCAGAUUGUAUAACCACAUUUCCUGGCUUCUUUUCCCUGUUUCUUAACAUCUAGGCUCUAUUCAUUAUAGAGAACUAUAUUCAAGAGACAAAUCAAGAAAAGACAGAAAACUACAUUCAAUAGAAAAAUCAAAGAAAAGAUAAGAUACCAUUGUGUUUCAAACAAAGAUAUGGAUUUUUUUUUGAUGGAUUGGGAAGUAAGAAUGUAAGUAUAAAUAGAAAAUUACUAAAAGAAGCACAACUUGGUACAAAAGAAGUAUAAAAGGCACACAAAGGCCAAAUAAAGAACCUCUAUCUACAACUGUCACAGGCCGAAACUAUUCACAAACCUAACCAAGAAAAAUCAUCCACUUCCAUUCUAAGAUUGGACUAUGAAAAUAUAGGGCAUGUUUGAAAACUGUUCUUAGUACAGAAAAUAGUUUUUUAAUUGCAAAAACAUGUUUUUUAAAAUUUUAGAUUAACAACUUUUUAAAAAUUGUUUUGAAAACAAGGUGAUUUUUUAGGACAGGAGCUUCUACAUUGUACAUAAGUGCACAAUGCCUUCAAAUAGAAUAGGCCUAGAAAAUUAUUUUUAUGGUUGAGUUUCAAAACAGAAUUCUCUUCUUGAAAACAACGGAGAACUGUUUUUAAGAACUACCCUCAAAAACUGAUUUUAAGAACUGUUUUAAAAGACAUUGCCAAAUGGGGCCUACAGUUUUGAGACGGAUUUGAAGCUCCACAUUGGCAAAGAGGUUAUGCUGUUUCUAUAUUUCCAAAUGGAAAAAAAUGGGUCAUCUUUCAUAUUUCCUUUCUCCUCUUACCCAUAAUGCAGUCAUGCAAUCCAAGUAACACCUAAGGAUAAAAAUAUUGGUUUUCACAAAAAUAUCGGGAGUUGGAUUUUACAGAUAUAUCAAGAUAUAACAAGAAAUAUCAAGAAAUAUCGAUGAAAAUAUAGACAAAAAAUAUUAUUGGGACUGAAAUUGAUCAAAACUUCUAGAAAGAUUGGGAAAACUCUAAAAAAAAUGAUAGAAAAAGCAAUUAUACACAUAUUGAGGUUAUUUUGUUGAAGAAAUUGAUACAUGAUAACCACAUCAUAUCAAUCUCUCUCUCUCUCUCUCUCUCUCUCUCUCUCUCUCUCUCUCUCUCUCUUUCUCUCUCUCUACCUCAAUCUCUCUCUCCUCAUAAAAUAGCCACAUCUACUUUCCCAACAAAGCUUUAUUAACCACCAAGGGCCUUCUAACACCCAAACCACCUUUAAACAAUCUAACAAAUGUGAAUUUUCCUUUCAAUUGACGCAACACCCCCUUGGAAAUCUCUCUCAAUCUUUUCAAGUCUAUUUUUGCAUCUUCAUUUGGCUAAAAGAAGAAUGGAAUUAACUAGAUCAAGAGAUUAGACAGAGCAUAAUCCAGAUGAGUAACUCUACCAAACUAAGAGAAAUAUGAACACUCUUGAAUGCUUAGGAAAGUCUCUUCUUAAACCUCUGCUCUACAGGGAGUAAGGACUUAAAAAGCUCUCCCAAAGGCAGACCUAGAUAAUUAGUAUAUAGAACCCUACUCUAAAACCCAGCCUAAGAGCUAAUCUUUCCACAUUCUCCAUCUUCCCAUUAGAACAGUCUCACUUUUCUCCAACUUAAUCCCGAGCCUUGUAAAGACCAACAAAAUCUAUCUCAGGAUAACCACUGCUCACAGUUGGCCUUGUAGAAAUUGGUUUCCCUCUUUAAAUUUUGGAGUUAGCUUUUCUGAUUCAUGUCAUAUUAGACAAACAGUUGAAUAAGAUACCUAACUGACAUUACCAUAAUGACACAUCCUGACACAAAUAACACCCUCCUCCUUUACCAGAUGUGUCUUCAGUUCAAACAAAUGGAGCCUAAAUAUUAUGAUCAAUAUCAUAGUUUACUUGCUUUCCCCUAAACAGAACCUCCAAAGAUAAAUAGAUUGUAGUGCCAGCGAAAGCUUUGAUGCCAACAAUGUUAGUUCAAGAACACAAAGAUAAAACAAUCACACAUACGGUACACGAGGUUUUAACGUGGUUCGGCCAACCAUGCCUACGUCCACGGAUGAGAGAGAAUAAUUCCACUAUACAAUAGAGAAUAUUACAGAGGAUAAAAACCAGAUACAACUAUUGGGUUCCCGAAACAUCCCAUGUUUCCCCACUCCUUGUAUCCAUACCUUACUACGAGCCCUCUCGCUCCACCAGGUACCUCCUGUUCUUCCUCACAUCUCUAUCCACCUCGUAUAGUCUCUAUAGGCCCAUCUCCAUCUCAUAACUUUUUCCCCUCAUGACCUAGAAUAUUUAUAGAGAUAUUUCUAACAACCUUCCUUAUUCUAUAAGGAAGUCUAAUAUUACAAUAAUAUAUCAAUCUAUAAAUAUUCUAUAUAAUAUUCUUUACACAAAAAAGAAUCUAUACUAAUUAGGAAUUUGGGACACUUCCUAACAAUCUCCACCUUGGACCAAAUUCCAUGAAGUUAAUCUUCAAUCUCUUCAUGACACAAACCUUUUUGUAUCAUAUCACCACGAGAGAGCAAUUGACUCCACCUUCAGUGAAAAUUCCUUUUGUUUUCAUCUUGUGUGCUUUGUGAUCUUUUACUCUUCCAGAAAUCUUCAACCCAAGCUCUGAUACCAAUUGUAGUGCCAGCGAAAGCUUUGAUGCCAACAAUGUUAGUUCAAGAACACAAAAAUAAAACAAUCACACAUACGGUACACGAGGUUUUAACGUGGUUCGGCCAACCAUGCCUACGUCCACGGAUGAGAGAGAAUAAUUCCACUAUACAAUAGAGAAUAUUACAGAGGAUAAAAAUCAGAUACAACUAUUGGGUUCCCGAAACAUCCCAUGUUUCCCCACUCCUUGUAUCCAUACCUUACUACGAGCCCUCUCGCUCCACCAGGUACCUCCCGUUCUUCCUCACAUCUCUAUCCACCUCGUAUAGUCUCUAUAGGCCCAUCUCCAUCUCAUAACUUUUUCCCCUCAUGACCUAGAAUAUUUAUAGAGAUAUUUCCAACAACCUUCCUUAUUCUAUAAGGAAGUCUAAUAUUACAAUAAUAUAUCAAUCUAUAAAUAUUCUAUAUAAUAUUCUUUACACAAAAAAGAAUCUAUACUAAUUAGGAAUUUGGGACACUUCCUAACAUAGAGAACAGUUCGGAUUCAAUUCAGGUUUUAUCCAGAGGGACAUAAACCAAUUUAAAAAGUAUCCAUUCUAUAACCCAAUAAAACAUUCAUAAAUUUGACCCAUCUACAGAAUUUCUAAAAAAUAUACUUACUAAUGCAGAAAAUACCUGAAAACCAAUUCUCAGCACAACUUAAAGGAAUCAGAAAUUUGUUCCAGAUUAGGACAAAAUAAUAAUAAUAAUUGUUACAGGUUUUCAUAGUUAGUCUAAAGAUGUUAGUGGUGUCCUGAUGAAACCAUGAGAAAUUGUAGUUACCUUCCCAAUCAAGACUUCAUUAGCCUGGGCUCCAUAAGCAUCUGCUGUAUCAAAGAACGUGAUUCCUUUACUGAAUGCAUGCUUGAUAAUUGCAAUAGCAACAUCGCCAGGGACAGGAUUGUUGUAGCCUCCGGACAGUCCCCUACAACCAAACCCCAGCUUUGAGACCUAUAAGAAAACGGAUGUUUCACUUAAAUGAAUGAGAAAUAAAAACCUCUCCAUUUAGUUGGGAAGAUUUAUAUAAAGAUCUAUUCUUCCGUGAUCUCAAUGAUUAUCUAUAGGGAAUUGAUUACAUGUUGAUGACAAUUUGAGGUCUAUUAGUUUGCUUAACAUUACAAGAACAGGAGCAGAUUCUUGUGAGUUCUCUCAGUCUACAGUUAUUGGAGUCUACAAGAUUGUAGCUUGCCCAAAAUUUCUUCAAAUGUAUGACCAUAAGCAUCAAUACAGAAAAGAAAAUUAACCAGUACUUAGCUUCUCAAAUAUGGCCAUGAAGAUUGGACCUCAAUUUAAGACUCAUAUUGGUAGCACACAAGCAUGCUUUUAAUACAUGGUCCAAAACCAUGUUUUUGAGAAAAUAGUACAUAAUAUUGAAGCUAAAAGCCACCACAUAUUGGUGAUGCUAUGAGCAUUGUAUUGAUCAUCAUUACUUACUUUUAAGGCGAAACCUAAUAUACCCAAAUCAUUUACUCACACAUAAGCAUUCACCCUAUCCAGAUCAACCCAUUUCUGUUUUCACACCCACAUGCAUGACACUUCCUAAAUCAACUCAUUUCUGCUUUCAUACCCACAUUUAAGGAUAAACCCAUAUUGCUAAUCAUGUAGUAUCCAUCAUGCAAGAUGCAUUCAGAUCAAUGGUUUCUCUAAUCUUAGCACUCUUUCCUGGUGAAUGCCAUCAGAAACACGUGGCUCCUUUUAGUUACUACUAGCAGAGGAUAAUCGAGAAAUUGAAAUGGGUUGCAUCUCAAGCAGGUGACUUCCUUCCCAGUUUUACCCACAGUUGGAAUAUGAAGAAUACUAAAUUGAAAAACAAAAUUUUAGAUUUUGUUGAAGCAAACGAAAUGGAUAAUGAAGGAAAGAAAUGGGGUUUACCUCUAAUCCCUGAUUUCCCAGUUUCACUCUUGGAAGUAGGACCCCAACCAUCUGCAGCUCAGCCAUUUUCGCCUACCUAAAGAGUUCAGGUGAGCUUCUUUUUUCUGUAGAGGGUGAUCAGUAGCUCAAUAAAGUUAUAGAGAAUGCCAGUCAAAUGGACUCGCUUAAUUUAUCAGUGCCUCAUACGUGGAGCCGUAUGAUUUGACAGGUCUAUCAACGUGCAGAAAUCUCAAAACCAUAUUAGCUUGGGUUGAAAGUCCAUGGGCCUGAUUGAAAUGUUUUUGAAAAACCGUUUAUAAAAAACAGUUAUGAAAACCGUUCUAAAUUAUUUUUAAAAAAUAAGAAUUUGUUUGUUCAUGCAAUUUAAAACCGAUUUUCCGUUUCUAAAAACAAAAAUUUUUUUUAAAAAAUUUCUCACACUAUUUAAUCGAUGUACUCUUUAAACAAUUUUUAAAAAUAAAAUGAAAUAGAGAACAGUUUUUAGAGAAUAAGUAAAAGUUGUUUUUAUGGGGUUUUUAAAAAUAAAUAAAAAAAUUAAAAAAAAACCAUAAGAAAACAAAUAAAAUUGAACAUAAUAUCAUUUCUUUUCUCUCUUUAUAAUGAAAUACUGAUACAAAAAAUCUUCAAAAAUCUUUUAAAUUGCAUAUGUUUUUCUAAAUCUAUUUUAACUUUUCUAUAAUUUUUCAUGAAGAAAAUAAAUUUUAAAUUUGUACUUGAUACAUAAAAUUUAUUCAUUUUAAAAAAUAAUUUGAAACUCAAAAACCAAUUUAAUUAAUUCUAAUAAGUCAUGGAACUCAAUAAUAUUAAAAAUUAGACCGAAAUUUAUUUUAAAUGUUUAAGUUAAUUUUCUUUAUAUAUAUAUAUAUAUAUAUAUAUAUAUAUAUGAAUUAAUGAAUUGAUUUAUUAAUGAGUUUAGUAAUUUUUAAAAAUAACUCAAAACUCAAAUAGUAAACUAAUUAAUACAAAAAAUUUAUGGAUAAAAAUUAAAUUAGAACGAAUUUAUUGUUUUUCUUUUACAUAAAAUUAUUAUUUUUUAAUUUUUUUUUUCACUAAGUAAAUGAACUCCAAAUUAAGUAGAUUCAAUGACAAGUUUAAUAAUUUUUAAAAGUAUUUUAAACUUAAAUAGUGAACGAAUUAAUACCAAAUAUUUAUGAACAAAAAUUAAUUUAGAAUGACUAUUGUUUCUAUUUUGUAUAGAAUCAUUAUUUUUAAUUUAUAUGUAAUUGCAAAACUAUUUUCAUUUUUAAUAAGUUUUGAAUUAACUUAAAUUUAUAUUAUAUAAAUUGAAUUUACAAUGUUUUUACAAAAUCAAAACAAAAAAAUUAUUUUCAAAAACAAUUUAUUCAAACAAGUUUUUUGUUUUUUAUUUUUAAAAACUAUUUGUAAUUCUUCACAAGGUUUUCAACGAGAGAAAAUGCAAUCUAUUUUAACUUCAACCGCAAAGCCAGUUGUGCACAUGGAUGAAAAUUUAGGGAAAUUUUGUCAAUAUUUAAUUGAAAAUUUGAAAUAUUCCUAGCCGUCAAAAAGAUAUUUGAAUGGAAAAGUUAAUCAUGUUGUUGAUUUUCAACAAUAUUUUCUAACAUAAAACAUAUACUAAAGUUGUUUUCUCUUAUUUUAAUAAAAAGGAAAAUUCUAGAAGUUAAUAUACUUUUUAAUACAUUCCUACAAAAUAAAAAAUAUUGAAAUAAAAUUUUAAUAAUAAAAAUAAAUUUAAUUAUAUUAUAUUCAAAUAUUAAAAUACAUAAAAUAUUAUCAUAGUUUUUUAACAAGACUUUUCUUAUUUCUUUUAUAUAUUAAUUAAAUAUAAUUUUGAGAAGAAAAUUAUAAAUAUUUUUGGAAAUUUAUACAUAUGUAACAAUUUCUUUUGUAUCUUUGAAUACAUCCAAAUUAAAUAAAUAUCUAUAAAUAUAUUUUGAAGUUCUAUAUACUAUUACUUAAUAUCACAAAAUUAUACAUGUAUUAUUAUUUUUUUCAACAAAACAACUUCCAUACGUGUAUUAUUGUUUUGAGUUCCCGUCCUAUCGAUAUUUUUUAUUCUUGAUGUAUCAUGAUAUAUCUAUAAAAUUCAACUAUUAAUAUAUCUCUAAAACCGAUAUUUUUAUCCUUGGUUGUUCAUGCUAAUGGAAGGUAUUAUCCUCUUUUGUAAAUCACUCCAUUAUCACUUUAUCAAUUAUUGAGAAUAAUCAAAUUUCACAAGAUAGAAACUCAGCGCCAAUCAAAUAUUUGGCUUCUAAACCUAAGUCAUAUUAAUCUAAUAGAAUCUUAAUCCACUAUAUAGGUGUUUUCCCAAAUCCUAAUCUAGUUGAUAUGAGGAUCUUAAUAACAUUGGAAUCUUCCAUAAAGUGCUUUCUUCUUAGAUCCAUGUCACUUGUGUAGAGUGACUACACACUUGAGAGAGAGAGAGAGAGAGAGAGAGAGAGAGAGAGAGAGAGAGGGAGGGAGGGAGGGAGGGAGGGAGGCUUUCUAGAAUAUCACAUUUUGAAUGGUUAAGUCUAUCUUGUUAGAAUCUAAACCUAAAACCAAGGGACUUAUAUAAAGUCUCUUAGGAGCUUAAGUGACUUUGACUCAAUUUGAAGUUGGGUCACUUAAUCCAACCUUUUGGAUUCUAAUUAAUUAAUUAACAUCGUCUUUGCAUCUUUCUCUUGUGGUAAACUUUUUAUCCGCUUCCUAGAAAGCAUACUAUUGGUUAAGCUUCCAAUAUGACUAGAAAGCAUACUAUUGGUUAAGCCGUGAACUAUAUAGCUAGCCUAAUAAUAGGCAUUUCUUCCCUUAAUUGAGUCCAUUCCAAUCGUUCCUUAAAGCCCUUUAACUUCAAAAGAAUGUGUAGUAGAGUUUCUCACUGAGUCAUCUUAUUUGGAAAAAGGGGAUGAAUCCUCUUGGCAAUCUCUUUGCACUAGGUGGCAUUGAAACAGUUAAUGGUGAGAGUGAAAGCCUCAUUGUAUUCUGUCAAAAUCUCAAUUUGUUGAAUAAGAGAAUGCACCCUUUUAUCAAAUUGAACUCAGCAAUAUCAUAGAUGCUCUUAUAGCCUUAUAAAAGAAUCUUCUUUUGUCAACUUCUCUCCUUCCUCUAUCCUCUCUAAAUGCUAUGACCCUCCAGACAUUUUUUACCCUUUAGUUUUCAUAGAAUCAUAGAUGAUGCCAAAUCAGAACUGGCAACAUUCUCCAAAACUUGCCAAGCAGUGAGUGACAGAAUAAAAAUACCCAUAUCCCUUCAAUUAUGCUUCUGGUUUCAUAUCAUGAAAAACUAGGUGGUUCCAAAGAGACCCUCCUACUGUCAAAAUUGAAAAAGUAAAUGGAGGAAACGAAAUGGAAGUCUCCACAUCUCAUCCAAAGCAUGUUAUGCAAUCUUUCAGUUACAUCAUAAUCAUACUAAAACACACAUCCUACGGCAUUGCCCAUUCCUACAUUUCCAAUAUCUCAUGACGUAAACAAACAGAAACUAUAUCUCUGCUUCAACUGGCUUAAGUACAUAUGGUUCUAGAAUAUGUGGACAUCUGCUUCAACCACAGAUAUAUUUAUUUCUUGUUUCCAUACUCUUUCAUUUAGCCGAUGAUGAAAUUAUGAUGGUUUCAGAAUCAGAUUGCACACCCAGACAUCUCAAUUCAUUUUCUUCAUACCCUUGCUGGUGUAUCUGCAAACCGCCAUGAGCUGCUAAUCAAAACGUCAGGUGCUCUAGCUCCUGCCACCUCAGUCAGUGGUGCUGCAUCAGAUAUCUCUUCUAAAUCUUCCUUUGUGAGAUUCAAUCUCAAAGAACUGAUAUUAUCAUCAAGAUUUUUA
rnacentral:lncRNA from 1 species